rnacentral:lncRNA from 1 species
AAUUAAAAUUAUCCAUCAUAUAACAUGACAAAAUACAUCUCCGAGGUUUACAUGACACAAUAACUCAUCUCAUGAAUACAUUUCCUAACACACAUAUAGCAAGAACGGACAACAUCCUCCAAAGCCUUUUGUCCAUCGCCAAGCUGAAGCCAGCAGCGGCUCCUGCUAGCGAGCAUCUUGCCAUCAGAAGGAUCGCGAGCAUCUUGCCAUCAGAAGGAUCAACUUUCAAUGCCUGCACCCAACCAAGCAUCAUGCAUGUGUCAACAUAUAUACUGACUGAAGUUAUAAUAGCAAAUUAUUCCAAGAGAUACAAUAAAAUUGCAAACGGAUAUAGAAAAUAAAGGGCAGACACAUAAUCGCAGGUACUGAAUCAUCAAAAUAACUCAUGAAGAUAAUAUCUACUCAACAGAGGCCUAUGCAAGAAUUAAUACUUCAUGUCACUUUUUGUCAUCGGAACUUCUACAGCAUAAUCGCACGUACUGAAUCAUCAAAAUAACUCAUGAAGAUAAUAUCUACUCCACAGAGGCCUAUGCAAGAAUUAAUACUUCAUGUCAUUUUUUUUCAUUGGAACUUCUACAGCAAUUCUUCUGUAAAACAGGUUAAUUGCUGGUUUUGUGGUUUACACUUCAGACAGUAAGCUACAUCCAAGGAGAAGAUGAUGCUGAUACUAGCCAUUUAAAAGAUUAAACUCUAUAAAAGGUGUGUGUGCAUGUAGAACAUUUCCCACUUCAAACUUUUACAAAUUAACUUUUAAAAGAUGUAGACCGACCAAUUCAUUCCAGUUUAUAUGAUCAUGUACAUAAUGUUCAGCAUAGUCACAACAUCCUUACUGUAAAUUAUGUUUUAUUUCCAGAUUAUAUGAACAUGGAGUCCUUAUAAACAUGCAAACAUGAUGUUUCUUUCCAUGGUUCAAAGGACAAAAUCCUGAAGAGACAUCACACACACAAAAACACUAUUCAUCAUGUAGCUGUGGGCAUGCAAGUACUUGAGUCUAGUGCAAAAAGUAAUGAUGGAAAGGACUGACAUUCAUAACCGAGUUCAACCAUCAGGUUGGACAUAACACAUUCAUUCAACAAAUGAUCCCAAGCUGUUCAUCAACUUACUUGUGGUUGCACACCAAUGGCCGUGAACCUCGUCGGUUAUGAUGGUAUGCUGUACUGGUGGCUUACGAACAUCGAUGUGAUCUAAGUACAGUUCUUCAUCUCCAUGGUGAUCGGGCCAUAGGCUGUUCUCGUGCAGCGCUCCAUGCUGGCCCUCAAAUGGCAUACCUGAGAAAAAACAUGGUCAAAAUCUGUUUAUCAUAGUAUACGUACUGCUUAUGAAUUAUAUUGUUUCAGGUCGCACUACAUGUGAUGCUGAAGAUGAUUUGCACAUUUUACUGGACACGCUAUUUCAUCAGUAAGAAAGAGUUGUGGGUAUCAAACUUGUAGCAGUUAUUCUGGACAAAUUAAAGAAACUAGUCGACGAAGUGCACGAGCUAGUAUCAUAGAAAUAAUAUGCUUUAAUGUAUACUAGAAUACAUUCGACUUUCCAUUGAAAUAAUAUACUUUAAUGUACAAUGUUGAUUUGCGUCAAACUUUCUAAUAUAUUAUUUAAGGAGGCGUACCAACGUUGAUUUCCAUUGAAAUAAUAUGCUUUAAUUUACAUCAUAAGUUUAUUGUCAUUGAAGUUAUCUUCAUGUUUUGUGUCUAUUUCUGCACUUUCCUAGUUGUGUCAUGCUAACUGCAGUCAACACAUUAUACUACUUCUAAUAUACAUGAAACAAUCAGAACAGAAAACGUCAAUGGAGAACUGAUAUUAUAAUGGACUUAAUGUGGAAGUACACAAAUCUCUCCCACAAAAUUGGAAUGAAAAGAACGGUAUCGCGAUGAAACAUUCUGUUUCUGCUUAAUUUAAUCAUUGAGUUAAAUGGCAUCAGAUGUGGACAUAUUAUGAGUACAUAACCAAGAAAUAAAACACCACUACAAUAUGCACAAGACAAAAAAAAUCAGGCUCAAGACAUUGCAGCAAAUCAGCUUAGGGGAGCUUGCCGAUACAGUGAUAGUGCAAGGAGAUUAUGAAACAAUACUUGAGAACACAAAGUUAACAUAUCAUUAGUGAUUGAACUAACACAAAGUGCAUUUUACCGGGUGAAGCUUAUAUUCCUGAUAUAUGAUACUUAUGUUCGCUCCUUAUUUUAUUACAUGUGAAUAAAUAGACCAUGCAACCAGAAAGGAAGAGUUGAUUUACUCACCAGCCCAUGUAGUACUAGUCAGGGUUAGUAGGCGGCAGCUCUUUGAACAUUGUAGUCUUGACAAUGUCAACCCACUCGGGAAGCUCCAUCUGUAGGAACAAUAUAUAACUUCAGUACUAAGAAUGCAAGAAGGUAACCUGGACAAGUAAUAAAUACUAUGCCUUUCUUAUAAUUCAUCUAGGAAAUGAGCAUCUGCAAUAGAAUCACAUGUAGUCACACAAAUCAAAACAACAUAAUGUGUGUGCAUCUGUAGUACCAUUGUAUUUAGUCACUCAAAACACUAGAGUGAGCACAUUUCCUAUGAUAAAGGCAUAUUAAAUGUAUAACAAGAAAUAUCCAAUGCUCGCUGAACAAACAUAUUUAGGAUACCCAAAGUGACACUAUUGAGAUCACUCUAGAGUAAAUAAUAUAAGAUAAGUGAGACAUGCUAAAUAACAUUCGGAUAUGGCGGUGGACAGGCAACAAACUCAAUACCAUGCCUAGGGUACAAAGGAAAUCUACAAUCUGCAAUACCGAAACCAAUAUAUUAAUGUUCUCUCACUCGAUCUUGCACACUAGCAGGAACAGAACAAUGUUCAAGAUGUAAGCAUGACUAGUAGGGAGCUCGUGAAUACCCGUCCAUGGCAUGGCCCGCGGCCGGCGGCACUGCCGAAUGAUCGAUCACCGCAGCAUGGGGCACGCGAGCGCUCCGACGAACUAGUCGCCCCCUGGUACACCAUCGUGCCAUUGAUGAGCGACAGGCCCGCCGGCGCCUGCGUGUUCAACCCGGCCGACUUCACGCUGCACAGCACACACAAAAUAAAACGUACUAUCAUCAACACAAAAUGUUAAUAGUAUAUGGAAUAUGUAUACCAGUAUACGUACACGUCAGUGCAAUAGUGAGCGGCUAUCGUUAGAAAAUAAGCCACGGAGAGGAGAGCGUGCAUCGUGACGGGAUAACACGUUGCGUGUCCCCUACGAGAGACGACGGUUGACUAAUCGAGUUGCCGUGGGCAGGCACGAUUUUGCUUGGAACUGUUCGAUUGGCGGCAUGCGAGCCACCGACCGCACUCUCGCGGACGGACGCGGCAAGGUCGUUGUUGGCCGGCUCGUCUCGUCGGUGCGCCGUGCACGUCAACCGGACAUCAGUACCUUUCUUUUGCUUUUGGGAGAGCCGAGCCAAGGAAAGGAAGCUCUCUUUUGGGUUGAGAAAAUGCAACGAUAGAUAGAUACAGCCUAUCUAGAAGCGACCUCCGUUUUGUUGGGCUAGAAACAAAUCUCCCCUAGCAGUUUUAGCACAACAAUUUAAGAAAAUCUAGCCCGACUGUUCUAAGAAAAAAAGGUACAUCUAGCAGAUUAUACGCUCGACCUCUUACAAAAUAGCAAGGCAUGGCGCCAAGAUCCUGACGGGAGGAGGCCUCCUGCUACAAAUCCCCAACAGGAAGAUACCCUAGCGACGGAUCUAACGAGAACUGGCUUGCGUUACCUUGCCGGAGCGCUUGAGGUGCGCGGAAUAGGCCUUGACGAACUCGUGGGGGUUCACGUCCUUGACCGUGCACGCCAGGAGGCCGCGGUCUCGGCUGCGGGAGCAGCCACGAUCGCCAUCAUGUGCUCUUGCCGACGGCGGCGCUGUCUUCAGGAAGGGAGGGAGAGGUGUGCGUGCCGCUGCGGCUGCGAGGGACUAGGGUUUUCUGGUGGCGGGGUGUGUGAGAGGAAGCGUCCGAAUUUAUACUGGAGGGACCUAGGUUAUGGGCCAUGUAACGAAACGAUGGAUCUGGUUGCAUGGUCUACUUAUUUGACCGGUAGACGGCCCACCUCUCACCGGACGACGUAGGAAAAGGGCGCGGGUAGGCGAAAGAAAUUUUGUAAAACAUCUAUCAAAAAUGUUUUUCAAAAAGGCACCACACAAAUUUUUACUGAAGUUAGAACACAUUUUACGGAUGAGGACCAAUUUGUUUGCAUUUCUGAUCUUUCUAGCUAUUUUUAAUUAUUUUUCGAGUGGCAAAAUUUGGUUUUUUGUGAAGAACCUACCAAAUAUUUGUUGCAAAAUUGAACUCCAUCAAUUUUCUAAAAUACUAGUACAUAUUUAAUAUAAAAUUGACCAAAUGAAUGCGUGUCAAAAGUUUUUAUCCACCUCUGGUGAAAAAGAAAACUUUUUGCCGAUUCAGUUGGAAACAGGUCAAACUUGAACUGCAGCUGCCUCAAAUUUUAAAAUUUGGAUAAACAAUAAUUGUACUUCCUUCACAAUGCUCUCUACUAAACAGAAUAUUGGGAAAAAUAUUGAGGAAAACUAGCUGAAUUAAAUGAGCUAAAAUUUGGUGGAGUGAGGUUAUAUGGUCAGUUUCAUCCCGUGGUAAAUUUUAUUCAACUAUAAAGCAAUAUAAAAUUUAGUUGCUUCAUAAAAUGAAAAUAUUACCAGAAACAAAGAUUCGAUGAUGAGCCCAUAUGGAUUAUUAGAUGGGGCUAAAUUUUUUGCAGAGCUAUGUUUUGGGCACAUAGAAGAUGUGAAAAAAAUUCAACUCAUCAAGAUAUUCCUAUCUAGUACUUCCUUCACAAAGUUGUUAGCUGAACACAAACUUUGGAAAUUUGCUGAGAAAUAUUUACUAGGAAAAUGGUUACGAAAGUUUUCAUGAGGCAAUGAUUUGGAUAGGAAAGAGUGCCCAAAAAAUAUGAAUGUAAUCAAAGAAAUAGAAAUAGCACUUCCUUCACAAAGUGCUAUUUUGAACAAAAUAGGAAAAUGAAUAUUGCUAAAUUAUUUUUAAAUAAUGGAAGGAAGGGUUUUCACAUAUUUGAGGAAUAUAUGAUCCAAAGUAUUUAUGAGAAUUUUUCGAGAAAUUUUGCAAUGAUAUAAUAGUAGGUUGCUUCACAAACUAGUCGGGUUUGACGCGUGACAUAGAAUGGACCCACCAGUGACAUGUCAACAUAGUUAGAACAUGUUACUACAUUUUUAUAAUCAUCGUAAAAGUUAUGACGAUCUCAUAUUAUGCGGUUAUGACGUUUUGACUCACAUCGUCGUAAUUUAUAUGUAGAUUUGAUCCCCUCAAACGGCUUACGACAAUCUCGGAUGAAAUCGUCAUAGAUUUAUGACGAAUUCAUCAACGACGUCUUAAAAACGUCAUGUAUGAGCAUAUUUCUUGUAGUGACAGGAGGUUGAACUUCUACAUGUACUCCUUGACAAAGCCACUUCCUUGCUUCAGCACUUAGAAUUAUCGCUUCCUCAUAGCCAUGAUUCCACAAGGAAUUUGGGCCUUGAGGAAUCCAUCCUUGAAAUGAGCCGAAAUGAUCACAUGGUCGCCUUUCAUCACCUUGAAUCCAUUCCACCAAGCUCUGGUAGUUCCUCCGAGGCAGUGAGAGGCAUAAAGCAUCUUGUCGUGAUCCUCGUUGCAGUUGACUAGUGCAAGGAAGUCCUCGAUGGUGCGGAUCCAGUCGGCAGCGUCCAGAUGUUAUGCAGUAUCAAUGAAGGUUGGCGGUAAAUUCCUCAUGAACUCCGAGAGAGUGGUAAGACCAUUGCCGUUUCUUCCUUGUUGAUGAUUGUUUGCAAGGACCUGAUCCAUAUGCUGGAUAGAAACAAUGUUGUCUUGGGGUUCCUCCCAGAGAACUUAGAGAAAGUGGGCUACGGUCAUAUUCUCAAGUGGAGGUGGUGGCGGGGGAUGUUGCCGUGUGGCUGCUCCUAGUGAUCUCUAGCCUAAGCAGACCCACAAGCUCACUACUGCUGUCUAGAGUUCUUGGCGUUGGGGUUGGCAAAGGAGCCAUUGUGGGUUGCAGUCGCCAUCCUGUUUUGAGGAUCCAAGUCAAAUAACUAGGAUAGAUAAGAGGGAAAAGCAAUAAUCAAGGAAGCGCACUUAAGGGGGUUGGUAUAGUGCAAGUAUGAUCACAGAGGGGUCGAAGGACCAAACACAUAAUAUUAAGAAAGAUAGACGAUGUAGUCACAUAAAUGCUGCCUAAGGAAAAAAGCAUGACUUGCAUCGAGACACAAAAAACAAAAAUAAACAACAAGCACGAAUGGUUUCACAUGAACCAUUACACGGACUCGACUUUACAUGAGGGAUACAUGACUUGUCCUACCCUAGGGGUUCUCAGAAUCAAGUUGCGGAGUGCUUGGUCUCGUACUCAUGCUCCUCCUGAUUCCUCCCUGUCAUCAUCCGUACAGGUGUCAUCUCAAGUCGAGGAGGCCGAAGAACGAGGAGGUUCAUCCAAAUGACGCUUCUUCGGUGGGUCUGAGAAGAGCGCACUGUACUCCUUCACACUCAUGCCAUGACGCUGAGAUGUUCCCAGAACGGGAGCUUCUCUAGCUAGGGAUACUCCUCCUCUAAGCGACAACUACUCGUCCCUCGGGGGCUCAUCCUUCUGGAUCAUGUAUGGCUUCAUGUUGGCUUGACGAAGUAGAUCUAGGGUGUGAUGAAGUUCUUUGCGGACCUUCAUGGACUACUUAAUCAAGUUGUGAGCCAGACUGUUGGCGGAGAGGGUGAAGUAGGUAUGGAACCUGAGUGGUGUUCCAUCCUCCUUGGGUGGGACCAACGUACAACUCCAACUAAUGACAUCCUUCCUGAAAGGUAGGUGUCGAUUAGCUGGCUCAUAACCUAUCUCUGGGUUGAUGUCACGAUGGUCGAUAACUGCCUUCCGUGCAGUCGUCUCUAUUGUGAUCGCCAAAGUCUCCAUUUGUGGUCCUUCAAAGAAUCAACUCAUCGGGGAGUCAUUUGCCUUCACCACCACAUCAAUGUGGUACUCCUUCGUGGUAGCAUUGAUCCAGGGCUCAUGAUGGGGAAAAUGGUAGCUCAGCGAAACUCGCAGUUCCCCAGGCUCUCCUCAAGGAGUAGGGAAAAGAUGGAUGCUAGGAGGUCAUAGGGUACGACGGUCAUCUGCAAGGUUUAAGUGGAGGAGAUUCAGUAAAGUUUUGAAGGUAGACUAGAAGAGAUAAGCCAUAUAGAACCUCCUAAGUAUAGGUACUAAGUUCGGUUUUUGAAAAUGGUUUUAUCAUAUCUUACAUCCAUGCUAACUAAGGCUUCCUACAGUCAGGAUGGCUGUGAUACCAUCUCUGUGGGGACCCUGACACAUAAGUCGAAGUCACAGAAUGCACGUGUAUACUGAUCCCAGAGAUCAAUGCUCAUUGAACACAUAGUAGCUGAAUAAUAAAGAGUAUUACAUCCAUUACAUACCGUCUUACACAAUUAUGACCAUUGUGGUCAAGUCUUAUACAGAUAGGGCCAUGAAGGCCAAACACCAAGCAUAAACUUUGAGCGGAAAUCUUGAACGAUAGCGUGGACCCAUGCCAUCUGCCAUAACCAUAUAGGCAUUCUGACUGGGAAGGCCUAAUUUGCAUGUUUGUCACCAAGGUAUUCUUAUCUAUAUUCCUAUUCUUUCAUACCUAGUCAAUUAAAUAGCUAGUGAAAAGCCAAUGAGUAAUUUGAAUGUAUGUGCAAGCAACCCAUGUUUUGAACAAGAUAAUCAUGCAUGGUUUAUCACUAAGCAGGUAGUUUUGUGGAAACUAAUUUUGAGUGCACUAUCAUGACCUAAUAUUUUUAAAAUCAUGCACCAUGAGGUUAUAGGUAACCGUAUGUACAGGUUACAGAUAUCAAUAUAAACAGAGUAUCUCAUCAUUUCAUCAAGUCAAAUAACUUGUCCCAAGUAUUUAUUUUUCCCACUCACACACGCCAGGUUUUGUAAAACAAUGGAGGUAGCCCAUGAGUGGUCAUCCAAGUGUCCUUGACCAUGGACACGGCUAUUCGAACAAUUUACACUCUGCAGAUGUUGCACGCUUUACCCACAAGAGUCGGGGAACUUUCAUGCAAGCCACGACUCGCGGUAUAUUACAUAUCCGACAUAAGCACCUGAAAAAUGCCUUCCAUUGACAACACUAAACAAAGAGUCCACUCGUUGGUACACGGCCCUCAUUAUGACAUCACAAGUACCAUCGCUAAGGGGACAUAAUAGUGCCUGAUGUCUGUGAGAACAGUCAUAGUCGAGAGAGUAACACAUGCUCUUCCAGGCAUGACCCCGAAUCGAGAGAGUAACACAUGCUCUUCCGCCUGUAGUAAUGCAGGCUCUCUGCUAGCAUUGACCAAAGUAAUAUACAAAGCCCGUCCCAUAAGGGGUAUCGUGGUCGUACAUGUAAGGUUAGAGAAAUUAUAACAACUUAAACCAAUCUCUUUUCAAAACCAGGACACACACUUGCCUCGGUACACCAUUUUUUAUCAAGUGGUUACCUAGCUCAACAUCUCCCUCGAGCAUUAGUGGCACCCGAUGUGGUUUUCAAAAAUGUCUUUGAUAAACAUUUGUUUUCCAACCCAUGCAUAUUCUCGUCCCACUUGCAUAGCAACUACUCGCACCUAACUAUUCCCACCCGCAUAACCCUCAUAGGAAGGUAGGCUCAUGCAUCAUGCAACUAUCAACUCGCAAUGCAUCGAAGACAACCCAACAAGGUGGUCGCCAUACAAUCAUGCUAUAUCAAGCAACGAUCAAACUACUACAACGUCAUGCAUAAAAAUAGUUUCACAACAUGAUGAAAGGGUUGCUUGUCUAGCUCAACAAAGUUUUCAUGGACUUCGAAUACUUCUGGUCCAACUCCCUCGCCGACUUCGUAAUUAGGAAUUAGGCCAUACCAAAACAGGAAAAAUAAAACACUCAGAAAAACGUCAACCUAAUUUUAUUGAAUUCUAGAUUUAAAUCCAAAAAUAGUACAUGUGUUGGUUUUGGAUUUGGCAAGACAGAAAUGGAGAUUUGGAUUUUUAUAAAUACUUAAACAUGGAUUUAAAUUGAAACCAUGUAGAAAACUUGUUCCAAAUGAUGCACAAGUGGCACCAUUAAAUAGUUGAGGUUUUAAAAAAAAAUUAAAAUUUUGAAUCACUGGAUUUGGACAAGUAUUUGUAUGUGUAGUAUUUUACAAAAUCCUACAUAAAAGGAAAAAUAAAAAGAGAAGACACAAAGUGGCUCGGCUUGAAUAACCCAUAGCUAGGCAGGCCCAGAGCCACGCCAGCCUAGGCAAACUGGUGCACACGCCCAGGUUAAGACCUGAUGGCUGGGGCCCGGCGGUCGGCCAAAGAGAGAGAAGGGAUAGAGAGGUGAGGAAGAUAGGCGGGCCCCACUUGUCAUCUUCAACCUCAUGACCACGGGCGCAGAGAUCUCACCGCCAACGACUCCAACCGCAGUGAGGCUGGCUGAAGGUGGGAAUGCAGUUAAGGUGAUCCUGUUGUUCGGUGGAGGAGAAGGGGGACGUGAAGGAUCCCUGGUUCACAAGUGGCGACGAAGUGUGGUGGGGGGAUCUAAGGGAGGUUUUUGUCAUGGUCGCCUCCGAGUGCCAAACAAAUGGAGGAAGGAGGAGUCGCAUCACGAUGUUGUAGCAGGCCCGUAGGGAAAAAAAGAAACAUCAGAAAGCUACCUCCCACGAGAUCGACAGGGUCCUAACAUAGUGGAGCUCGAGUUUGAUCUUGAUCUUGGAUGGCUCAGUGGAGGAGGAGUGGGUGGCCUAGGGGGUCGAUUAGGUAGGAGAGAGGGCAAGAGACGCGUUAAGAUAGACUUGGGGUGGCUUCAAGAGCGAGGGUGUGGUGCACCAUGAGAUUUGCCCACGGGUGCCUGUGGGAUCGGCUGGGAUGUUUGAUGGAGAGGGCUGGCUCGAGUAUGGGGCGUUCGGGUGUGUCGUCGAGAUCACUGGGGAUGGAAAGAUAAGAAGAGGGAGAGGCCCUAGCGCGUGCAUGUGAGGUCGUGCAUUGGCCGAGCUGGGCGGUGCUCGAGCAUGUGAUGCAGGGUAAGAGAGAGAAGGGGGCGACAGACAAACGUAUCGCGAACGCCAAGUUCUGUGUGACCAAUAUUCUGUUGCCAAGAUAGACAAAAUCAGAAUUUCCGAGCUUGAGUAUCGGUGCCACUAAGUUUGGCCAACUGACCGUUAGACACCUUUUUGGUGCCACCGAGUUUCAUAUAUCGGUCUCACCGAGAUUCAAAUUUUCACACCUUUGAGCUAGCCGGUACUUCCGAGUUUGCCCUUUUGUGUGUAGCGGUUGGAUUUUGGCUGCUGCCUAUAUAUACCCCUUCACCGACCUCUCAUUCAUGGGAGAAGCACUCAAAACACACACUUCACUCCCAGAUCCAUUUUCUGAGAGAGAACCACCUACUCAAGUGUUGAGACCAAGAUAUUCCAAUUCUAUCAUUUGAAACUUGAUCUCUAGCCUCCCCAAACUUCUUUCCACCAAAUCAGCCUUUCCUACCCAUGCAUAUUCUAUGAGAGAGUGAUUUGUGUUGAGGAGACUAUCUUUAGAAGCACAAGAGCAAGGAGUUCAUUGAUCUACCACAUCUAUUACCUUUUGGAGGGUGGUGCCUCCUAGAUUUGUUAGGUGUCACUUGGGAGCCUCCAACUUCAUGUUGUGGAGUUGAACUAAGAUGUUUCUAAGGAUAAGGAGAUCUCCUACUUCGUGAAAAUCUACGUUGAGUAAGGCUAGUCCUGCAUGGACGGAACCUGUGGUGGAAUAGACAAGGCAGCUUCUUUGUGGACCCUCUGUGGGUGGAGCCCUCUGUGGACUCUCGCAGCCAUUACCCUCUGUGGGUUGAAGUCUCCACUAACAUGGACUUACGGUAGCGCCACCUAUCGGAACCAUGCCCAAAAUUGCCAUGUCAACCUCAUGUGUUUGAUCUCCCUACCUUACUCCUCCAUAUUACACUUGCAUAUUUUACAUUCCACUGAUAUACUCUUAGAACUUCAUGUGUAGGGUGUACUUCACUUGUUAUAACUGCCGAGUUUCUGUCCUACUAGAAUUUGCGUUGGGCUAGAAAUUUUUAUCUAGAUAGGUAGUCUAUUCACCCCCUCAAGACACAUCUUCAAUCGAUCCCUCACAUAUUAAUAUUUUAUAAAAAUAGUGUUAUGUCUCAUUGUCACGCCCCAAAAAUUUCUAAAUAUUUAUUUAAUUAAAAUUUUGUGUGAAACAGAACUUUUGAAUAUAAUUUUCUUACUUGCUUAUUUGUGAGCCUCCUUUCAAUUUUCCCCUUCAAGUAGGAUUUUGAAAAUAAUUGUGGACUUGAGCGUUUGUUCGAAAUCAUUUUAAUUCAUUUUAUUAAAUUCCAUGGGGAAAUAUUUUUAUAAAAUGAAUUGUCAAACUAAAUUCUUUUAAAGGCAUUUUCAUUAUUUUGAAGAGCCUCUAUUACAGUGCAAUAAUUUCAUAUAUUUUUGAGAUGUCAAGUGAUUCAUGUGAUUCACUUUUAUGCAAAAACAAUAUUUUGAGUUCUUUGAAAAAUUUGAGCAAAGCAUCACCAUUUCUAUUAUGGUCCAGUUUAGUAGUUUGAACUACAACCCUAUUUUCACUUUCCCUCUUUGCCAUGACAUUUUUCUUGAAUGAAAUUCAUCCUACCAACCCUUAAGUCAAGGAGUUUAGACCCAUUGGAUUCUUUUAAGUGUAUGAAAUAACCAAGUGCAUUUUGUGACGGAAAAUAUUUUUCACCAAAAGUUGCGCUAACAAGUUUUCUGUUUUGCCCAUCUAACACCACCAUCACCUUUAGUGUUCAAAGAGACCCCUAAAGUUUGGAUGCCAGCAAAGUCUUCUAGAUGCCACUCGCAUUUCGUCAAAUACGCAGAGUGAUUGACCAUAUUUGGCAUGGUUCUACAAUUGCAUUGUGAACUCGCUUCCCUGGCCUAACCAGGAUGUCUAGGAGCCCUGCCUUAGCCUUUAAUCUAACAUUGGGAAGUUGCAACUUCAUCUCAGCACUCUAUGUGCGCCUGAAAUUUAGUUGAGCACUUGGUGGUCACGUCCAGAGCGCCUGUUUUGUACUCCCUCCGUUCCUAAAUAUAAGUCUUUUAAGCGAUUUUACUAAGGGACUACAUACAGAGCAAAAUGAGUGAAUCUACACUCUAAAAUAUGUCUAUGUACAUUUGUAUGUAGUCCUUUAAUGAAAUCUUUAAAAAGACUUAUAUUAUGAAACGGAGGGAGUAUAUGCUAGCGUCCGAGCUGACGCGUCUACCAACCGUCGCGCCCAUUGGCUCUUCCACGCCAGUAGAGCCGCACGGCGCUGAGCCAAACCCCAACCAAACUUCCCCUCCUUCUCUGAAGCGUCCUGCCAAGCCCCCAGACAUGACAAGCGCAAGCCACCAUCGCCGCCAAUGGUGGUUGGUGUAGUGCAGGCCACCUGGCGCGCCCCCGAGCGUCCCAACUCGUCGUCCUCAUCCCUGGACGCGUCCUCUUCCCCGACAGCCCUGCCAGCCUGCUCCUGCCGCCCCUGUUCUGCAGCAGUGGCCUACCGCCAUGCUUAUCCGCGGGCAGCCGAUGAAUCGACAUCCGUCCCCUAUAUAUAGCUAUCCCCAAGAUCCGUUGGUAGCAUCGCCUCGCUUAGUAAGCACCAAGACCGCUCCACAACCCCUCUAUCGAGACGUCCGUGGUCCUCGCGACCACUUCUGGUGAAACUCACCACCGCCAUGGUCCGGUUAAUUCGAGCCAGCCAGUGCCAUUCAGUGAGAGACCCUGCACCGCUACCCUCCUAGAGCAUCCCUGCUCCUCCCUCCCUCGCCAAUUUCAUCCAAAGCAAACCGUGGGAGAGUUCCCUGGUUCAUUGAAUCCCCUCCGCCAUGAGAGACGCUCUGCUCGAGCCCGAGCUCUCCAGUGUUGGCCUUCACCACCAGCGGAUACGAACAACUUCUGUGAUAACGCUGUUGCGCCAAGCGAGAAGAAUGGAGCACCCUAGACGCUGCAAUCAUCACCGAAGACCGUCCUUCUCUCAGGUUGUGUGUACGAGGGGAGGAAGAUGAACCUGACAGGUGUCCCCACCUGUCCGGUGAGUUUAAACUAUUUUUGAAUACGUAUUUCCGACAGGGUGUCCCCACCCGAGAGUGUUUCCAUACCUGUGCAUGAAACCGACAAGGGAUAUUAAAUUUCGUUCCCCUAGUUAGGUCACACUCGGCAGGUUUAUCCCUAAUUCCUAAUACACUUGUUCCUGCCCAAACCAAUUUUCUUCUCUUAUGCUUUUGCUAUUUGAUCGUUUGACCAUAACUUUCAAAAUUUCUGAAAAAAAUCAUAGUAACUCGAAAAAAUUAAAUAAGAAAUCAAAAUGUUCAUAAAAACAUAGCCUAUAUGUGCGUGACAUUACGCAUUCACAACAAAAAUGUUGGAAAGUCCCCAUUUGAGUUUUAUUUGAAGUCAACAAAAUGGGAUUUCCAACAUUUUUGUCAAGAAUGCAAAUGCCAUGCACAUAUAGGUGAUGUUUUUGUGAACAUUUUGAUAUCUCAUUUGAUUUUUUAGGAGUUAGUAUGAGUAUUUUGUGAAGUUUUUAAAGUGUCGGUCGAACUAUCAAAGGGCAAAGGCAUAAGCGAAGCAAAGUGUUAUGGACGGGAAUGAGUUUUUUCUGGAACUAGGGGUAAACCUACCGAGUGUGACCUAACUAGGGGCAUAAAUUCAGUUUAUUCAUUAGUUUUUUUGAAGACGUACUUCCACCAAAGCGAUUUCUUUAAACCAUUUCUUUAAACAGAUUUUGACUAAAGUUUGACUCCAUUGGUUGAUUCUUUUUUUGUUAUUUCGCAAAUUUCGUCUAGUUUAUUUACAACUUUAUUUCAAAAAAAUUCAAACAACUUUUCUACACUAUUUUGGGAAUGUGUGUUGCUUCCAAUAUUUUCCUUUCAAAAAUAGGAAAAAUGGAGGGAAGAAUUCUAUCAAAGAUUUUGGAGUGCACACUACCCUUCUUCAUACCCAAGGAAAGCAUCUUGAACACUGAUUGGUCAUAAGUUGUAUGAUUUCUUGCUAUGAUAAAUGAAUGCAUUUCUAUUUUCUAAGAUAAAGAGUUCCAUAUAGGAAAUAUUAUGCAUGAAUGCAUGUGACAUGUAUUCAUUUACUGUUGAGCAUAGAAUAAGUUGAUAGUGGGUACUCCCUCAUACCAUUUAUGCCUAUGAUGGUCCGGACAAACUAGGAGCAAGGUUGGUUGUGGUAAAUGUAUGUGUGACCGUGAAACUGAUAUCUUGUGGUGACGAGAGUGAUCAAUGAGGGCAUGUCGAGGUUUGAUGGUGGUAACACUAUCAGAUAUCAUUAAGAAGUUUUGUGGUGCUAACCAUUGGAGGAAAACUUAAACCUCGUGAGUCGACCGUAGAUCGAGUCUUGUGCGAGUAACCCCCAUACCUGAUUUGUGCUACCACUAGUCCCUGCCAUGGGUAGAGUAUGGUUCAGUAAAUCGCCAACCCCUUCCCUUGCACACACCGUAUAAAGAAUCCAUAGUGAAAGAUACCACUGAUCACUCGUCGGCAUGUCACUUGGUCCUGGGGCAUGGGUGUUCCGGUUGGACCGAGGGGGUGGUGCCCCUGUUUUGUGUGCGGUACAAUUAUGUUAAUCCCAUGCUAAUCUAGAUUGUGGUCUCCCCACUUAGACUUUUUACUAAACAAUUGCUUGGGUGAUUCCUCGCAUCGGGAAGUUAAGCUUCUGUGUGCGGGUCAAGUGUGUUUUCUACCCAAAGACCGUAAGCGGAAUUAGCCACCGCCUCAUGUUGACUAAGGAAACACGUUACUCAUUGGUAAAGAGUAUACCCUCUGCAGAGUUAAAUAUCUAUUCGAAUAUCCAUGUCCGCAGGUAAGGACUACAGUGUGGGAUCGGUCAAGUGUAUGUCUUCGAAGGAAUUAAUUGAAACAUGAUGAUGAUCAUGAACCAUGAUGGAUGAUCAUAAUUAGUACGAAUUUUUUUCUGGACUAAUCAUUUCGUGUAUAUGAAUUUUUCAGUGUCCCUAGGAAGAUUCUACCUCGGAUACUCGAUGUUAUUAUUGUCUUUAUAAGCCCUUUAGCUGGCGUCGCUCAGACCACCGACUGUGGCAACUUUUAUUAUUUUCCAUAUGGGCCCUAUAUGUGGCAUCGAUCACACACCUUACUAUGGCAGAUGUUAUGAUUUCCAUAUAAGCCCUUUAGGUGGUGUCACUCACAUGCCCGACUAUGGCACGCGUGUUAUUACUUACACAUUGUUAUUAUCAUCUUAUAAGACCUUUUUGUGGUGUCGCUCCACACGCCCAACUAUAGCACAAUGAUUAUUAUUUUGUUAUAAGCCCUUUAUGCGGCAUCGCUCCAGACGCCCAAUUGUGGAAUUACUUUUACUAUGCUGAUAUAAGUCCCUUUAUGUGGUGUUGCUUAGACACACGACUCUGGCUUAUAUUGCAUGUCCUUUCGAGUUGUCGUCUGAGACGCUCGAUCGGACUAUUUUACUUGCUUAUAAUAUUUGGAAGGACUAUCGCCCGAUGUUCCAAUUUAAUUUCAUUCAUUGAUUUAUCAUUUAUUUUCAGUAUGAAGAAAUUACCUACUUACCUAAAUUUAUGAAUUUAUUGUGUGACUAACUGAAUAUCUGUAAAUUUAAGUUAUUGUUACUCUCUUUCUUGAUUUCUUAUACAUAAUUGAUAGAAAUGAUUUAUCAGCAUAAUUGCAUCUAUAAAUUAAAUCCUAUGGCAUCUGUUGGUUAUUAAGAUCUUAGUGCAUGCAUCUCACCUGCUUUUACUUAUCUGUUUUCAUGAUGUUUGGGAGUACAUUCAAAAUACUCAUUGGCAUGUACCUGGCUAUUGUCUUGAUCGGAUUGCACAUUUGGAGAGGAGCUCGAUGACGUCAACCCCAAAACCUAGGCGUCGAGGAUAGCAUCCUUUAAAGAUAGGAAUUAUCCAAGUCAAUUGUUCCUAUGGGAAUGAAUUCCCAUGGACGCUGGAGAUCCACGAGUCGCUUCCGCCAUCACCCACUAGACAUUUUGUUAAACCCCAUGGACCUUCAUGGUAUUGUACACCAAAUUUUGCACUUUGCUUUGAAUUUAUGUAUCAAGUGAGUGUCCACUAGCUAAGAGUAUUCCUGGGGGUGGUGAGCACAAGGGCAUGUUAGUGGGAAUUUUAUAUCGUAGAAAACCGGUCCCUACAACCUUGGUAUCAGAUCCGACCCACAAAGACAUGCAUGGAUCAGGUGCAUGGGCAUGCGACGCAUGUCGCGUGUGGUCCGUUGUGGCACAUGGCAUGGCACAUGUGCUGGACUAGACGCGCAUACAUGUGCCAAGAGGGAAAGUUCUUUAUGGGCCGAUGAGGACAUCGACUCCUUUGAGUUGGGGUCUAUGUGAGAGCUGGGCUUAUUAGGAAUGAUAAACUACUCAUAUCAACAAGGAAUUCCUUCUUUUCUUGGAGCCCACUCGAAAAGAACUCCAAAGUUAAGCGUGCUUGCCUUGGAGCAAUUCUAGGAUGGGUGACCGAUCCGUAAGUUCGUCCCGGGUGCGCGCGAGUGAGGACAAAGUGCGCAGGAAAGACUAAUGUUGGUUUGUGGAUUCAGUCUAGAUCCUGCCAAGCAUAACAGGGUGUUACAAUUCGUAUCAGACCAAGGCUGACCAUUGACUAAUCCUAUCUUAACCAGGUCGCUAGCAAUAGAUCGGAUAUUUAUAUAUCCAAAUCCCAUCCUAGCCUGCCCGGUAGCCAUCCACAUUGUCCAUCUGACACCUUUUUGGCAGUCGAUGCUCAACCUGCCAGCCAGUCCAUAGGCCAUGUGUUUGUGACCAACACUAGAGAUGUCGCAUCCCCUAGCAUGCGAUAGAAGACUCCCUUCGCCUAUAAAGGAAAGCCUUGCCUCAACCCAGCACCCCACAACCUUCAGUCCAACUCCAAUACCCCAGACCAACAAGAUUUCUAACCCAUCAUUUGCCACGAUACCACCGUAUCCGAGCCUGAAGACUUCGUAGCUAUCCUCGCCGACCUCAACCGCGAAGUUUUUGGCAUGGAAGAAACCCCGGUGUAUGUUGAGCAUGAGGAGCCUGCGAGUGAUGCUAUCCAUCACCUUUGGGUCGCGGUGCACAUCUAUGGAGGGAGUUCCUCAUUGGAACGUCCUUUCCAUUUCACUUGUAGAGCAGCCGCCAACGAAGCCCAAGCCCGCCAGCUUGUAGCCUGAGCAGUUAUAGUCGAGCUGCGGCAUCUGUCGCCAAGAAUGAAUAGCCGCCUAUUCUGCUACUAUUCGAGCUGUAAAGGGUAUGGUAGCCCGACCCAGGUCGCCAGGAGAGACCUUGAGACAGAUCCUACAUUAGUGUAGGUAGUGCGCUACUUAAGAGCGCAGGAGGUGUUAACCGAUUAGAUCACCUUUGACCUGGUAGCGACCCGUAGGUCAUUCGUUCACCGGACCAUGGUAAGUAGUGAAGCUGCACGUGCAUCCAACAACCAACUAGUAUUAUUUAGAAGACCUGUUAGAUCCCUGAGGUCUGCCGUAGUUCUCCCUUUAGACAUCCUGAUCAUGACCCCGGAAGAGCUUCACCGUAGUUUGGAUGCAUACUACAAUGAAGUUGUGCCUAGGGCGUGCCAUCCGAGACGUUGUCGCCACCGCAACCCUACAACCGUGUCCCAUGGCCUAGUAAAUUCUAGAACUAUGUCAACCAGAGAAGCCUCAUUGGAUGUUGAGCACAUCAACGCAGAAUCCAUCGAAGGUGGAGCGAGUCCACCAGAGUAGAUGUCACGCCCUAGUGGUCGUGUUGCCCUGUAAUGCUAUAUUUGCGUAUUUUUCUGAAGUUUUACUAAGGCCGUUUUAAAUAAAAUUGCAGGAUGCGCACACAUUGUUAUUCUUUUUAACGGCAAUAUGCAUAAUCAACGCUAAACUAGAUGACGUAUGGACUUAAAUUAAUUUUGGGGGGUAGCUACCAAAGCCACAUAAUCAGCUACCUGAGUAAUGCGUCAACUUGGGAAUUGAUAUACGAGACCUUCCAAGGAGAAGCAGAAUGUGUCCCCUUGACCGGGGAUAUUUGCUCGGAGCCCUAUCGCUCAUACUGUGUAAAUGACUAUCGGAGUGUUCGUUAAUCUAACAAUUAAUUGCAUGACGCUAUAUCACUAACUCUGUGUUAUAUAUAAUUGUCUUGAUUGCACCUGCAUAUGGGUGACCUUGUUCCAUGUUUCACAAGUGAGUUAUUUUCCACCCUUAGAAAAUCUCGAGGACUAGAUUUUUCUAUAAGGGUAUUAGUGUUUGUCACGCCCCAAAAAUUUAAUUGUAUUCUUAUUAAUUAAAAUUUUGACUAAAAUAAAACUUUUGAAUAUAAUUUGCUUCCUUGAUUAUUUCUCAGCCUUCUUGCAAAACAAAAAUCCCUCCAAGUAGGUUUUUGAAAUCUUUGUGGACUUGAGGGUUGGUUUGUAAUCAUUUUAUUUCAUUUUACUUUAUUCAGUGGAGAAAUAUUUUUAUAAAAAAGUGUCAAAAUAAAUUCUUUUAAAGGCCUUUUCAUUGUUUUAAAGAGCCUCUAUUGCACUGACACCAUUUCAUAGAAUCAUUUAAAAAUUUCAUAAAAAUUUGGAGACGUCAAGUGUUCAUGUGAUUCACUUUUAUGCAAAAACUUCUUUUGUGUUCUCUGGAAAAUUUGAGCAAAGCAUCUCCACUUCUAUUCUGGUCCAGUUUAGUAGGUUGAACUACAACCAUAUCUUAACUCGCCCUUUUGGCCAUGAGAUUUUUCCUGCUUGAAGUACAUCCUACCACACCCUUAAGUCCAGGAGUUUACAACCAUUGGAUUAUAUUAGGUGCAUGAAAUAACCACCUUCAUUUUCUGGCGAGAAAUGUUUUUCACCAAAAGUUGCACUAACAAAUUUUCUGUUUUGCCCAUCUAACACCACACUCACAUUUAGUGUCCAAAAAGACCCCUCCCUAGAAACUUUGGAUGCCGGCAAAGUCUUCUAGAUACCACUGGCAUUUCAUCAAACACCUAAAGUGCAUGGCCACAUUUGGCAUGGUUCUACAAUUACAUUGUGAACUCGCUUACCUAGCCUAACCAGGAUGUCUAGGAGCCUUGCCUUAGCAUUUAACCUAACCAUGGAGAAGUUGCAAGUGCAUCUGAGUCCUCUAGUUGUGCCAGUCACUUAGUAGAGCACUUAGUGAGCAUUUCAAGAGCGAACUCAGAGAGCUCGUGUUGCACGUGCUCGUGUCCGAGUUGUCGCAUCCACCAACCCCCAUGCCUCUUGGCUCUUCCUCGCCCGCAGAGCCGCGCCACGCCGAGCCAAACCCCCACCGAUCUUUCCCUCCCACUCUGUAGCGUCCCGCCAAGCCCCUAGCCGUGCCAAGCGCAGGCCGCCAUAGCCAACUGAUGUAUUCGGUGUCGUGCAGGCCACCUGGCGCGCCCCCAAGCAUCCAAUCUCGCCGUCCACAUCCCCGUAUGUAUCCUCUUCCCCCGACAGCCCUGCCAGCCUGCUCCUGCCACCCAUGUUCUGCGACAGUGGCCGUACGCCAUGCUUAUCUACGGAAAGCCGAUGAACCGACCUCCAUCCCCUAUAUAUAGCUAGCCCCGAGCUCCGUUGGUACCAUCGCCUUGCUUAGUAAGCACCAAGACCGCUCCCCAGCCCCUCUAUCAAGUCGCCGAUGGUCAUCGUGUCCACCUCCGAUGAAACUCAUCGCCACCAUGGUCCGGUUAAGUUCGAGCUAGCCAGUACCAUUCCGUAAGAGACCCUGCACGUCUACCCUCCUAGAGGCUGCUCCCUCCCUCACCAAUUUCAUCCAAAGCGAUCCGUGUGCAGAGUUCCCUCGUUCACUGAAGCCCCUUUGCCAUGAGACAAUCUUUGCUCGAUCUCAAGCUCCCCGGUGUUGGCCUCCACCACCUGCGGAUUCAUACAGGCUCUGUGAUCAUGCAGGUGCUCUAGGCAUGGAGAAUGGAGCCCCUAGCCACUGCAAUCAUUACUAAAGCACGUCCUUCUCUCUGCCAGUGCACAUGAUGGGAGGAAGACGAACCCGAUAGGGUGUCCCCACCUGUCGGUGAGUCAGCCUUUGCCCAGAUGGCACAGAUCCCCUGGUGCAUUUUCGCUUCUAGGAGACGUAUGCCCUAGAGUACGUUAUCUUUUUCCGAAGAUAUAUUUCCACCGAAGCAUUUUCUUUAAACUAUUUUAUUAAAUAGAUUGUGACUAAAGUUUGACAAACUCUAUCUUUUAAAAUAUAACUCAAAGUUCAUCUAGUUUAUUUGUAGAUUUAUUUCAAAAAUAUCAGACAACUUUUCCGCAUUGUUUUGGGAAUGUGUGUUGAUUCCAAUAUUUUCAAAAAUAGUAAAAUUGAAGGAAAGAAUUAUUUCAAAGAUUUUGGAGUACGCACCACCCUUCUUCAUACCCAAGGCAAAUGAAUACAUGUCUAUGUUUGUAGGAUAAAAACUUCAUUUGUUCUUGCGUGAUUACUUGGUGAGAGAAAUGAAUGCAUGUCUAUGUUUGUAAAAUAAAAACUUCAAUAUAGGAAAUAUUAUCCAUCCAAGCAUGUGACAUGUAUUCAUUUGCUGUUGAGAAUAGAAUACAGAUGAUAGUGGGGACUGCCUCAUACCACGUAUGCCUAUGCUGGUCCGGACAACCGCGGAGUAGGGUUCGUCGUGCUAAAUGUGUGACCUUGAAACUGAUAUCUCAUGGAGACGAGAGUGAUCAGUGAUGGCAUGUCGAGGUUUGAUGGUCGUAACACUCUUGAAUAUCGUUAAGUAGUUUUGUGGUGCUAACCAUUGCAGGAAAACUUAAAGCUCGUGACUCGAACGUAGAUCGAGUCUUGUGCCAGUAACCCCCAUACUUGAUUUGUGCUACCACUUGUCCCUGCCACGGGUAGGGUAUGGUUCAGUAAUUUGUCAACCCCUUUCCCUCCACACACCAUACAGAGAGGCCAUAGUGAAAGAUACCCUUGAUCACUUGUAGGCAUGUCACUUGGUCCGGUGGCAUAGGUGUUCCCCUUGGACCGAGGGGGUAGCGCCUCUGUUUUGCACCCGGUAAAAAUAUGUUGAUCCCAUGAUAAUCGAGAUUGUGGUCUCCCCGCUUAGAGUUUUUCUUAACGAUUGCUUGGGUGAUUCCUGGCAUCGGGAUAUUAAGUUGAUGUGUGCGGGUCGGGUGUGUUUUCAACCCAAAGACCAUAAGAGGAAUUAGCCAACGUCUCCGGAUGACUAAGGAAAUCCGUUACUCGUGGGUAAAGAGUACACCCUCUUCAGAGUUAAAUAUAUAUUCGGAUAGCCAUGCCUGAGGGUAAGGACUACAGUCUGGGAUAGGGGAUAGGUCAAGUAUCAGUCUUCGGAGGAAUUAAUUGAAACACGAUGACUAUCAUGAACCGUGAUAGAUGAUCAUAAUUAGUAUGAAUUUUGAUGUGUACUAAUCAUUUCUUAUAUAUGAAUCUUUGAAUGUCCAUGGGAAGGUUCUACCUCCCUAAUACUCGAUGUUAUCAUUGUCUUUAUAAGCCCUUUAGGUGAUGUCGUUCAGACGCCCGACUAUGGCAACUGCUAUUAUUUUCCAAAUGAUCCCUUUUUGUGGCGUCACUCAGACGCUCGACUAUGGAGUUGUUAUUAUUUCCAUAUAAGCCCUUUAUGCGGCGGCGCUCAGACACCCGAGUAUGGCACACAUGUUAUUACUUAUUCAUUGAUAUUAUCAUCCUAAAAGCCCUUUUUGCGGUGUCACUCCAGAUCCCAACUGCGGCACAUCGAUUAUUAUUUUGUUAUAAACCCUUUAUGCGGCAUCGCUCGAGACGCUCGAUUAUGGCAUAACUUUAUUAUUCUGAAAUAAGUCACAUUAUGUUGCGUCGCUUAGACACCCGACUGUGUCUUAUAUUGCGUGUCCUUUUGAGUUAUCGCCUCAGAUGCCCGAUCGGACUAUUUUACUUGCUUGGAAUAUUUGGGAGGACUACCACCCGAUGAUGCAACUUAUUUUCAUUCAUUGAUUGCUCAUUUAUUUUCAGUCUUAAUAAACUACCUACUUACCUGCAUUUAUAAAUUUAUCUUGUGACUGAUUGAUUAUCCAUAAAUUUAAGUUAUUGUUACUCUCUUUCUUGAUUGCUUAUACAUAAUUGGUAGAAAUGAUUUGUCUACACAAUUGUAUCCAUAAAUUAAAUCAUAUGGCGUGUCAUGGUUAUUAAAUUUUUUGUGCAUGCAUCUCACCUCCUUUUACUUAUUUGUUUUCAUGAUGCUUGCGAGUACAUUCAAAGUACUCGCUAGCAUUUUCCCUGGCUAUUGUCUUGGCCAGAUUGCUUAUUUGGAGAGGAGCUGGAUUAGGUCAACCCUAGAACCUAGGAAUCGAGGAUAGCAUCCUUGCGAGAUAGUAUUUAUCCAGGUCAGUUGUUCCUGUGGGAAUGGAGUCCCAUGGACGCUCGAGAUCCACGAGUCGCUUAUGUCGUGAGCCACUAGACAUUUUGUUAAAACCCAUGGAACUUCAUGGUCUUGUACCCAAAUUAUGUAUUUUUGUUGGCAUUUCUGUAUCAAGUGAGUGUCCACCAACUAAUAGUAAUCCUCGCGCUGGUGAGCACAAGGGCCUAUUACUAGAAAUUUUAUAUCCCGGAAAACCGGUCCCUACACCCAUACACAUGGCCUGAUCAUUGGGCAAAGGGUUGGAACAAGGAGAUGAGUUUUGUGAGUGGGAUGAUUUUUGUGAAUUAAAACACAAACAAGAAAACUAGAAAAUAGCAAUCAACUUGUAAUGGCCAAGAUGAUAUCUUAUCCUUAUUUCGGGUCGAGGGCCUCAACAAGGAUGGAACCGCAUCUCGUCGUUUCGCCAGAAUGGAUAUCGUUACAAGUACAUGUACAUAAUAGAUGAGUAUAUGGAAUUGGCCUACACUUUCCACAAGCUAUAACAUGAACAUAUCAACACAACAGUACAUUCAACCACCAUUUAGAAGAGGAGGGUUUGACUAUAAACGAAAUCAAACGAUAAAAUGAUAUCCAUCCGUGCUAUCCCAGGUAGUUGGCCUCGAACCCAUCCUAGAUCGAUGAGGAAGAAGAAGAAACUCCAAGUAGAACAAUAAUCGCGCUCACACAAAAAUAUUGCUUUAACUGUACCUGCAACUGUUGUAGUAGUAAUGUGUGAGCCGCAGGGACUCGGCAAUCUCAUUUCCAAAUUUAUCAAGACUAAGAAAGCUUAAUGGGUCGGAUAUGGUUAAGUGGUGAGGUUGUAUAAAGCACUAAGCAUUUACUUGAGUGGCUCACUAACGAGUACAAGAAUAUGAGGGGGUGAUCUACGCAUAAACUACCAUGAAUUAAUAAUGAUCAACAAGUGAUCCUGAACACCUACUUACAAGUCAAACAUAACCCCACCGUGUUCUCUCUCGGAUUCAGGACUCACGAGAAGAAACAAUCACGGUUACGCACAUAGUUGGCAUAUUUUAUUUGAGUUUACUUCAUGUUUUUUAUGACCGUGUGUUAAAGAAAAUUUCAAAGUUGCCACAUAACCGCGGGCACAACUUCCGACAUUUAACCCUGCAUGGGUGGUCCAAAUCAUCCAUCACAGACUAGCCACAAGGUGCGUGGAAAACCUCAAUCAUAGAAAACCCGUAGUCUCUUUGGAAUCCCGGUGGAAAACUUCAACCUCGAGAUAGCCCAAAGUAUCCUCCCAAUCCCUGUGUAUACGAUAUUUCAUAAAAGGUAAAACAAAUCCAGCAAGGUUGCCCGAUGUGUCGAUGAACCCGAUAAGAGCCGCGUAUCCCAUGCUCAGGACACGAGCGGAUGAGUAAGACGUCGGGUUGGCUGAGACCCCGGGUGACCAGGGGACGCCUGACAUCGCUCAGUUUGGACCAACACUCAUGAGGAGCACUGGCCUCAUUUGUUGAUUAAUUAUCCACGGGUUAAUUACUCCCUAUGGGGGUUUAGUAGUUAUUAGGCAAAUGUAGUACCCAAGUUGGGCCCUAUCGGAAGAAUAUCAAUCUAAGACGAAUUAUCAAGGGGGUCCACAUAACAACCCCGGGCAUGUUAAGAGCGCUCAAUAUGGAACGUAACACCGGUACACAAGUAACUAGGGCGACAAAGGUGGAACAAAACAUCGAGCCAAAAUGUCAAGCUUUCACUUUUUACCAAGUUUAAAUGUACAUUAAAUUAAAUAGCAAUAAUAUUGUGAUAUUUCAAGAAAUCCAUGCUGACACUUGGAAAACAGCUUUCACGUGCAACUAGCAACGCUAUAAGAAGGGUUGAGCAAGCGUUACAUAGCCAAACAAAGAUUUGAUGGAACGUGGAGGGGGGUUAGAGGUUUUUCAUGGCAAUGUUUGGAGGAUUGACAUUCAGGUGGUAGGUAAUUAUACAUAACAAUACAAGUUAGACAACUUGCAUAGCAAUGAUAGUAGUGGUAUACAGGGAAAUGGUCAUCUUUCAUGAGGUCCCGCUUGGAAGAAGAACGAGUCCACGAAGUAAAUGAACGGGCAUAGUCGAGCAAGUCCUCACACACCCUGAAUCAUAUUCAGAACUCUAUCGAGAGGAAACAAUAUGGAAACAAACAACCAACACACAAUAACACCACAACAUAUGCAUGGCAUGAUGCAUAAUAAAUUAUGAUGCAUUAUGCAUGACAUGGCAAAGCACAGAGAUCAACUUCUACACAUUAAGUGCAGCUCAAUAUUCAACGAGUUGCAUAUUGACAAAAUUCCAUAUUUGAAUUACUUAGUUCACUCCCGUUUAGGUACAUGACAAGUUAAAAUAUUGUUAAACAUGGCAAGAGGUGAAGCAUAAAUAAACUUUAUAUCUAGUCAUUUUAAAUGAGGUCGGAAAUAACAUAUAGCAUUUCCAAAAUGACCCCAUAUGUUAAUUUCGAAAUUGGUCCCGAUCUGAACUAACCACAUUUUAUAUUCAUUAAACAAGGAAACAAAAUGAACCAUGCGAUUCUACACGUCAUUCUAGAUGACUUACAUAUAUAGGUCAUCUAAAACAGAGCUACGUUCUAAAAGAUAUCACCAACAAAAGAUAAUAUGUCAUGUAUGCCAAAUGUAUAGAGAUGACAACCACAAACAUUCCAAAUCAUGGAUGUCGCAAUAUAUUAUGAAACUACAUGAGAUUCUAUGCAAGUUUCAUAUAUGGCAUGUUCAAAACAGAGCAACGGUUCCACAAAUACAACCAACACAAGUUAUAGCAAUAAUCUACCCAAAAUAGCAACAUGGAAUUUUGGACACACCAAAACAACAAUCUACAGGAAUCUAAAAUGAACAAACAAGACAUUAGACAAUAGCUAACAUGAUUCACAAUAAUUCAUCUCACUCCUCUGCUCAGGUGAACCUUCCCGACCCUCCCCUCGUGGUCGUGCAUGGCCUGCAUGGGUGGUUCUAUGUUGGAUCUGGAUUUCUCGCACGGUUUGGCUUUCUCUAAUGAGGUUUAUCGCCACUCGGGUUUUACGGUGCACCGUAUGAAGCAUCAUCGCCCUUUCAUCAUGGUGAUUUCCUUUGGUCGUCACGUGUUCCGGCUUUCACCUGACACAGUCGCCGCAGCUCUGGAAUCGGUGAUUGGAGGAUCGGCUAUUGAGUUUCGUGUCUCUCAAAUCACAGAUUCGGUGUUCUCCUUCAAGGUCUCCUGCAUGCAAGUUGGUUUUCACAUUCUGGAAUUGCGUUCUUUCAAGUGUUCAAGUUUUAAGUGCUUCUUCCAUCUUUGGGGACAUGGAGGUCCUAAUUGGCGUCGGGAAUUUGCUCUGUGGAAGAAGCAAUGUGAUGCGGAGUGGCUUAUUGUGAGCCCUUCUAAGAGAGAGCCUCUUUAGGUCUGAUGGCUAUGCAUUCCAGACCUCUUAAGUCUUCUCUUAUAUCUGGAUCUUCUGUUCGUAAGAAGCUAACUUUUGCAUCCCUUCAGCAAUAUGAGGUUUGCAAGGGUUACAGAUAUCCUCUUUGCCAUGAUGAGUUAGUCACACUUGAGCAGGCUGGUUAUUCGGUGCCUUCCCCCGAGCGUGUCAUCAUCUCCGCACCACCGCCGGCGGAACUCCGGUGGACGACAGCCAUGCCGCAUAUUACGUUUGGGACAGUUUCUUGCCAAGUUUCAUCUCCCGGUUCUUCCGGCGAGGAUUUUCAAACUGCCAAAUUAUUCGGAACUUCCCACGUGCAACAAGAAGCUACAUCUGAUCCAGCCGAGAUUCAUGGUAUUUUCAAUGAUGAGAAUUAAUUUUCGGUGGCAAGUUUGGAUUCUGGGAAAAUUUCCUCUCUCAUUAAUGAGCCUGCCGACGUUAUUUCUUCCCCUGUGCCCGAGCCUAAUUGCCCAAUGGAUAUUCCUUCCUCUCAGGAGGCCCAUCUGGCUUUUGACGAACUCAUUAAUAGCAUGGUGGAGGAUAUCUUUUCUUGCUCUAUUUGCAACGCUCGGGGCCAUCUAGCUGCGAACUCUACGGCUUUGCCUGGAUGCUCUGACAACACGGUGGGCCACACACGAUCUAGAGGAGCUUCUUUUAUGCGUAAUAAUUGUCUUACUUGGAACUGUAAGAGACCCACCACCUCCCCUGUCGCUGGUAUCUCAGGAACUGCUGAUACUCUCGGCGAAACAGCAACCCCUGUGACACAGUUCCGUCCUGUCUCAUCGCUGUCGCCUCCUCAAACUCCCUCUGAGACACCACCGGUCACUCCGCCACUGCCUCCCGCAAUGGAGAACUUUGAGCUUGAUGCUGAGUUCUUCCUCCCGCCUGGUCACAAUAUCAUCGAUGGAGGAGUCGACCGGCUACCUCGGACCUACACCACGCCUGCGGUCCCCAUCACCACACGUCACGAGCGCUUUGUCAUCGCUGACGUCCACCCGGCGCCACCGGCUGACGACGUGAUUCACGUAUGGCAAGAAGUUGCUGCACUUCUCUUACAUCAAGGGUUGCAUGUUCGGUCUGCUCAACCUUGCAUUGAGGGACUUGGAUUGUUUGAGCUCCGAGACGCUGCCGAGAGUUAUGCUGCGGUCCACAUGGUUCCGCAGCCAGUUGCUCAGAUCUCUGUUCUGCGCUUCAUGCGUCACGAUCAGGGUCUUGGGUUCCGCGACCAAGAGGGUUUUCGUCAGGGCUGCCUCAUGCUUUUGGGGGUCCCGUUGGAUUUCCGCAAUACUGAAGAUCUCCGGGCGGCUGUCAACACCUUUGGGGAGUUUCACCAUUGGAUCAGUGAUGAUCCAUAUUUGGUUCGCUCUAUUGUGUUUGCUGCCUUCCGAGAUGACCGACUGGUACCCCGCAGUAUCACUUUUUCUGAAUAUGCUGCUUGGGGUGGCGCCAAGGUUUCCUGGUCUGCUCCUGUGAACAUUCUGGGUGCGGCGGCUGCAGAGAUUCUACGUAAUGAUGAGAAUCCGAUGCCCCUCAAUGGCAACCCUCAUCUGCUCCCUGGACAUCUUGUUCAUGAUAAUCUGCAGUUUGCUCUGCCCCCAUAUCCUGCACUGGGCUAGAAUGCGGUUCCGCUGGCACCUGGAGACCCUGGGCCUGCUGCUGCUGCUGUUGAUGACGGAGGCUGGGAGCAGCCGCCUGCUACUGCUGAUGAUGGAGGCUGGGAUCAGCCGCCUGCUGCUGCUGCUGGAGGAGGUUGGGAACCUGAAGUGGCACCGGCAGCAUGUGCUGCUGAUCCGGUUCAGGACCAAGAAUCUAUGGUGAUUGAUAAGCCGAGUCCCUCUUCCUCGGAUUUGGUUCACGAGUUGGUGGACCUUGAUCUACCGCAGGGUGACAUGGAGGCGGAACCUGCUUCUCAAGAACCACCGCUGGAUAAUCCUGACGCCCCUAAUGCUGAUGCUCAUGAAGCUGAUUUACCAAUGGCUGCCCCGGACAAUGCUGCUGAGCCAGAGGAUGAAGUGCCUGUGUUGGAGGAGGUGCAUGAUGAAAACCCUCUGGCAAUUGUUCUCUACAAAACCCCUCCACCCACUCAGUCUGGCAACCUCUUUGUUGGGGCUGCUAGGGUUAUGUAUGGUCCUCCUCUGCCGCGUGUAAUGUCCUGGGCCCGCACCUUUGAUUCUCUUAUGGGCCCUGCUGCUGCUAUGCAUGUACCUCGUCAAUUACAGCUGCCAUUUCUUGAGCCCAUUAUGAUCCCCAAGCGAUCCUGGGAUGUGGCUUUCGAUGCUGAUGCUCCAGGACCUUCCAUGUCGGAGCCUGCUAGUGCCUCUCUCCCACUGCAGGAGGUAAUCCCACUUAGUCCUUCUUCAUCAUCAGAAGACUUAUCUUUUCGUUCUCUUGCUCCAUCCAAGAAGGGGACCCGCAAGAAGGCCACCCGAGUGGUUGACUCCUCGGCAAGACGGUGUACUCGUGGCUCCAUCCAGCAUGACGGCUUCAAGCCAAUCCUGCAAGAGCUGCCUGCACAUGUCCCCAAGAAGAGGAAGCCCAAGGCCAAGCCAAUGUCCUCUACAUCUCAUGAGACUGAAGAUGUUCAAGUACCUCCUGCCACUCCCAUCCCAGUGAUUCAGGAGGUGGGACAGUCACUCGGCAUAGCCCCUAAGAAGCUCACGGUGGAUCGACUUAUGGAAGAUCCUGCUAACUCUGCGCCAUCAUCUUCUGGUGUUUAAUCCAUCUAUGUUUAUCUAUUACUGUACUGGUUCUAUGUACUGUCGAACUUCUGCUUGCGAUGUCUUUUGGUUUUCGGAACCUUGGUUGCACUGGCUAUUACAUAGCCUUGCUUUUGCCAUAUAUAUGAUCUGCAAUGGAUAGUCGUUCCAUGAGAAGUUGGCGUGUGCUGUGUUAGAACGUGCGUGGCCUAAAUUCGGAUCAUAGGCAACAGGCAGUCCGUAACAAGACUGAUGAGAGCCUAGCUGCUGUGGUCUGCUUGCAGGAAACAAAAAUGCAGUCCAUUGAGUUUCGCGCCGUUAAAGGUUUUUGCCCCAAACGCUUUGAUCAGUUUGCUUACUCCCCUUCCAGGGGUGCAUCAGGAGGGCUUAUCACCCUUUGGAACUCCUCCAUUCUCACUGGUCAUUUAGUGAAAUGCACCCCAUAUGGAUUGAUCAUCUCUUUUACCUCAAAUCACACGGGUGAAUCAUGGACUUUAGUUAAUGUCUAUGGGCCAUGUCAAGGAGAGGCCCGAGAUCUUUUUGUGAGCUGGCUUUACAAUCUUGAUAUCCCCACUUGGGCUAAUUGGUUGCUUCUUGGAGAUUUAAAUUUCAUUAGAUCUCCUGACAACAGAAACCUUCCUGGGGCUGAUGUGAAUGACAUGUUCAUCUUCAACGAAAUUAUUGGGCAUCUGGGAUUGCUGGAACUUCCCAUUAAAGGCAUAUCUUACACUUGGGAAGAGACUAACGCAUUAAGUAAGAUGACAUGAUGUAGAGGGAUAAACUCAAGCAAUAUGAUGAAAACCCCACCUUUUUAGCCUCAAUGGCAACAAUGCAAUACGUGCCUCGCUAGCCCUACUUUGUCACUGGGUGAGGACACCGCAAGAUUGAACCCAAAACUAAGCACUUCUCCCAUUGCAAGAAUUACCAAUCUAGUUGGCCAAACCAAACCAAUAACUCGAAGAGACUUGCUAAGAUAUGAAAUCAUGCAUAUAAGAAUUCAAAGAAGAUUCAAAUAAUAUUCAUAGAUAAUUUGAACAUAAACCCACAAUUCAUCGGAUCUCGACAAACGCACUACAAAAUAGUAUUACAUCGGACAGAUCUCCAUGAAGAUGAUGAAGAACAUGGCAUUGAAGAACAAACUGAGAGAAGAAGCCAUCUAGCUACUAGCUAUGGACCCGUAGGUCUGUGGUGAACUACUCACGCAUCAUCGGAGGGGCAAUGGAGUUGAUGUAGAUGCCCUCUGUGAUCAAUUCCCUCUCCAGCAGAUUAUCGGAAAAGGCUCCCAUAUGGGAUCUCACGGGAACACAGGCUCUCGGCGGCAGAAAAGUAUUUUUGUGGCUCUCUUUGGUAAUGGGGUAAUAUUUGGGAAUUUAUAGUCCAAGGAUUAGGGUAGGAGAGCUGCAGGGGGGGGCAACAAGCCAGGGGCACGCCCUGUAGGCUUGUCGCCUCCCGUGGAUCUCCUGCCUGCUUCGCCAAGUCUGAUGUAUGUCUUUUGGUCCAAGGAAAAUCAUUCUGGGGAUUUUAUUCUGUUUGGACUCCGUUUAAUAUUCCUUAUCUCCAAUACUCAAAAACAUGGAAAAACAUAAACUGGCACUAGUCUCUAGAUUAAUAGGUUAGUCCCAAAAAUAAUAUAAAAUAGCAUAUUAGUGCAUAUAAAACAUCCAGAACAUAUAAUAUAAUAGCAUGGAACAGUCAAAAAUUAUAGAUACGUUGGAGACGUAUCAAUCCACUACUUGUGGUAUUUUCCAUACCCGAGGUAAGUACCCGAACAUUGCCUUUUCCCAUGAUGAUACUAACAAGGAGUCCACUCGUUGGUGCCAUCCCUCAUGAUGGACAUCACAUGCAUCAUCCAUGCGGGCAUGUAAUGGUGUGCUCGAUGUUCGUGAAAACAACCCAUGGUCGUUCUUUCCGGCACGACCCCGUAUAGAGAGUGACCACGUCACUCCUGGAACUAGUAAUGCAGGUUCUCUGCUAGUAACAACCAAAGUGAUCAACAAAGCCCCGUCCUAUAAGGGGUAUCGUGGUUGCGCAUGUAAGGUUGGGAUGGUCAGCACAACUUAAAUCUAAUCUUUUUUCGGUAACACACACACAUCUUGGCUCGGUACACCAAUUCGUUCUCAAGUGGUUAUCUAACUCAACACCUUCUUCCUCGGGCAUCAGUGGCACCCAACGGGGUUUUCGAGAAGUCUUUGAAAUCAUAUCCUUUCCAUCGCUAUUGAUGUUUUCAUCCCAUUUGCGUAGCGUCUACAUAACACGCUAGCUAAUUCCCACCCAAACAACCCUCAUAGGAAGGUAUGGUCAUGCUGAGUGCAAGUAUCAAUGAGGAGUUAUCGGAGACAACCCACCAAGGUAGUCACCGAUUCAACAUGAUUCAAAUGCAAUGAAGUAAACUCCAUAUGACAUGCGUAAAAAUGGUUUCAAGUCAUGGUCAAGGGGCCGCUUCCUUGGCUCAACAAAGUCUCUGGGGUCUUCAAAGUCUCCUAUUCCAUCUCCUUCGACAACAACGCAAUCUAUCGUUGCGAUAAAAACGGGUAAAUAUAAAACAACAACAAAAUAGGGAAAAUAUAACACUCGUGUGAAAUACUAGGGUGAAUAUUAUCUUUGUAAAAAUCAUUAGGUUCACGUUUUGAAGUGUAAAAAUUAAUGAAAAGCAAUUUAACACACUCUCAAUAUAUGAAACACGGUUUUAAGUAAAAACACUGUAUAAAACGUUUUCCAUAAAUUGCAUAAGUGGCAUAAUCAAAUAUAUUGUAAUAUUACAUGAUUUUAGUAGGUGAAACAUUUGGAUUUGGACGAAUAUUGUUGUGCAUGGAAUUUUUGCAAAAACAAAAGAAAAAUAAAAAGAAAAAUGGGAUGUGUUUCCCUAGGCCAGAUCACCCAUAACUCGGCCGGCCUAGAGCUAGAGUGACGUAGGCGGCCAGGUGCACACGCACCGCCAGGUUUCAAACCUGACGGGCGGGGCCCGGUGGCAGAGAGAGAGAUGCGCGAGGAGGCGAGAGGUUGACGAACGGGCCCCUCAAGUUAGGGUCGUUGUCAACCCCUAGCCAUAGGGCCGCGAGAUCACUAGUGUCAGCAGAGAGCAUGGCAGCGGGACGCGAGGAUGGAAAUGGACCCAGGACAUCAUCGCCGCUCGGGGGGUGGUCGAAGGGACCACCGACGUGGCCUAAGUCACAAGUGGCUAGGAGGUCAGGUGGACUUGCUUCGAGAGUUGGUCGAAGUCAACGUCUCCAGCUGUAAAACGCACGAGAAUUUGGGGGAAAGAGUCACGGAGAUGAGAGAGGAUCGAGGGGAAGGACAACAGUGCCAGAGGGUGGCCGUACUCAUAGAUCACUGGAGCUCUGAUGCAGCGAAGCUUGGCUCGAUCCCGAGCACUCAUGCACUAGGGCUUGCUAGGGGAGUCCUGGUGUUCGAUUGGGGGUGAUAGAGAGAACCCUUAGGGGAGCAAUGAGCUCGGGGGUGCCUUUUAUAUGUUGCCCACGGUCAACCGUGGAUUUGGCCAUCGGAGUUGGGCGUAGAGGCGGUGCAGGCCACAGGAGGUGGCAUAGGUGAGUGUGCGGUGUCCCUAGGCAUGUCCUACGACCAGGGGGAGCAACAGAGGGAAAGGAGUUGUGCGUGCGUGCGAGGCCCGCAGUUGGCUGAGUGGCGGGGGUCGGCCGCGCGCUGCAGAUGGUGAGAGAGAGGGGGAGAGGCAGCUUCCGACAUGGCAGCAUUUCGCUAACGCCAAGGCAAAUCCAUUGGCGCAAGGGGAAGGGCUCGAGAUGGAUAGGGGAUGGGCAGGGUGUGAAUUCCACUCUCCACUUGCCCUGUAGCAUGCUCAAGAGCGCGUUUUGACCGGCAUGAUGACACCUUUGCCAUGUUCUGGCGCGUCCUCAAGUUUCCAUUAGCUACAAAGGGAUUAAACAAUGGGGGAAAGGGGAAUUGGCUGCCCCGGACCUUGCCAGGAGAGAUGGAAGGCUGAGAGGGGAAAGAAAAUGGCUUUCCAGAUGGUGCAAGUGGGAUUUCCUCCCUCAACCAUGGAGCCAUCUAUUGCGGUUGCUACUGGAGUGGGGGAGAGGGAUGUUGGAGCUAUUUUAAAGGUUUGAGGUCAAGGAGAAUCGAGGAGGAGGUGAAAACAUCGUUUUUACCAGUCCGACAAAAGGAGUUUGAUUUAGAUUUGGGCAAGAUAAUUUUACCCGCUUACUAUGAUAAGUAACAGUAUUCAAUGGUGGGUAAAAAUGAGAUGGAUCACAAGGUAUGAGCUCUUUUCAACCAUUUUAUAGAUCAACAGCAUCGGGUUUCUGUAGAUCUAGCUAAGAAAAUCUAUUCCCCCAAAUGCACAACCUGGUGUACCAUCAUUAUUUGGGAACUAGGAAACUCCUGCAAAAUUUGAGAGCAAUUGGAGAAAUUGGCAAUGUAGAGUUGCUCAAAUUUGUUUCAGGAUAGAGAGGGUUCAGGAAUAUUUUGGUGAAUCAAAUCAACUUGGAUUGAGAUGAAACUUGGCAACAUGAUCACAUAUAUGAUGUGUGACUUGCUAAAAUUAUCCUGGAAUUAUUUCAGAAUAUUUCUUAUAAAAAUAUUUCAAAUACUUGAAAUAGACACAAAGGGUUUUGGAGGGUCUUGUCCUAUAUUUUGAACAUGACCAAGGGUUGACACUCUUAUAUAUGGAAAAUAUAUGUCCAUUGAGUUUGCCUAAAUUUGCUCAAACAUUAUGAAAGCAAAAAAUUAUUUUUUCCCUAUAAAAGACCAUUUGUGGCCUCAGAAAAAGGUACUUUAUUAAAAUAGGAAAAAUUAUCAUUUAAGAUAAUAAUUUUGAGGUUUUGGGAAGUCUUUUUGGUAAUAGGAUCCAAAUAAAAUAUUUGGGGUAGGACCACUCUCCUAAUUUGAGGACUUGUAGUGCAUACCUCAAUUUAGGGGGUCUUUGAAAUCUUAAAUUAAUAAAAGCUUUUUGGCCAAAAUAAUAUUUCAUAAAAAUAGUUUUAGGUCCGAUACACAUGGUAUGAUCAUUGCACAAAAGUUUGGAUCUAGGAAAUGACUCUCGAGAGAAGGAGAAUUUUUGUGAAUAAAAACCCAAAUAGGGUAACAAGCAUAUAACAACCAAUUCAACCAUCACAAGCACAUAAAUCUUUUAACUAUUUCCAAAUUUUAUAAAAAUCAUAUUGUCGCAAAGUGGUACAAACAGAGGGUGUAACAGGUAGCUAGGUAUAUGCAUGCAUGGUGUAACAGUGUGGUGAAGCUAUAUGAUGUUGUAUAGUCUCAUGUAUUUCAAUUAUGAAAUAUCGGCUGCCAUAAUACAAAUAUAAAAUAUAUUGUGUUCUUGAUAUGAAAUAUCAAUUUGAUUACUAAAUGGAUUAAAAAUAAUAGGUAUAUUAGGCUGCUUAUUGGGUUUUUCUAUUGCAAACGGUUUCUCAUGCACCUCCAUGGGCGAUGACGUUAACAAACACACACAGUUUCUAGAAAGUUGGCAUGCUGGAUGAGUGAAGAAUAACACACAACUUCCAGGAAACAACUAUGCACGUUAUGUCACCUUGCAUGAAUGUUUGCACAUAAAAAAUGUGUGACGGACAACCAUUUGCCAAACAGUUUUUCUAGGCACCAUUUGUGAUGUAUUGAAGAGCGCAAACGAUAGAAUUAUAACUACUUUAUAUGAUCACCACCCCUAUCAUAGACGAUGCUAUGAAUACAAUUCUAUUUGAUGUACCAUACGAACAGAAACGUUCCUUUGGGGUUCACUAUCUGUGAAGCUAAGAACAUCUCACACGGUUUCUACAAUAUAUCUGUUUGUGAUGGCUAUUCCAAUCGGACACGAGCUCUUUUUGCAACACAGGUGUGAUCGGAGGAGGCAUCCCCGACGAUUUAUGUAUCUCAUGUGGGAGACCGCAAUCCCCCCCCCCAUCACACAGACAUGCAAGGGUAUCCAAAUCAUUCCGAUCACACACACAUGCAAGGCCAUGAUUUAAAAGUACGUCGAGGAAAGAUGGUAAACACUGUUUGUAUAGGAGUCGCUUGCACUAGUGAAUUCAUCUUUCAACUGAACAAAUUGAUGGGGAACACUUAUAAUAAAAAUACGCAUAGGUAUGAGGUUUUAAUUCUUACAAACAUGUAUUUGUGUUAGGACCAUAUAUGAUUUGUGUUCUGGAAGUCACCCAUAAUUUUCUUGUUCAAACCGAAGUGGGGGAUGUGUCAAAAUUAUGUCUUGAUUAGCACGAGUCGUGGAUCAAGAGUCAUUAUCCCAACUGAAGGCCCUAUCCGUCUUAUGGGGUUGCCUUGAUAAUUAAGAUUGCAAAAAGUAGACAAAAGCUUUGGGCGUUUAAUAACUACACCUCUUGAAUCCCCAUAGAUAGGAUUAGUGUUACCUUACUAAACCUUUCUGUCACUCGUGUUCAGAAUAACACUUCUCGGUCUCCUUGGCCUUAUCCUUUGUGUGGCUCGCUCGCCAUGAUCCUGGGUACCUACAGGGAUGAAGAACGCACACGACACAACAUACAUAUACAAAACAAUUUGAUAUCACACAGACGAGAAAUUAAUUCGAAGCCCUUCCAUUGACCCCCACAAAAAUAUAGAGGGUCGUUAGCCUCUUGUCUCAACCCAUACCUUACUGAACUACUCACACCUGUAGAUCAGAUCACUUGCAGAACACAUCACAAAGGUAGACUGAUUAAUGUGUUGCAAUGUAUGCCCUAUGCGAUGCAAGAUUAAAGUAAGAUCUAGUGGAGGAAGAAAUGUGGUGAUUAUGGUGGCUAUGCAGAUGGAAAUGGCGGUGGCUAGGGUUGAUGGAGAUGGAUGAGGAUAAAUCUGUUCUCGUUCUUCUUGCGGAUGUUGUGCUGACAUUUUGGCUUCACCCCAUUAUAAAAGUUAUUCAGGUGGAUGAGUGGCCUCGGUUUCCACGUCAUAUGACCGCUCAUGCGAGCGAUUGCGGUCGCAUGAAACACCGCCUGGUGCUAUUUCUCCGGGAGUGCCUCCUCUUGAUUUCUUCUAUCUCCUCCUUUAGCCCUUUCCAUGUUCAAACUCGACUUCACCCAUACUUAGUCCAUUUCGUGUAGAAACUCAAUAAAGAGAGGAUUUCUAGAACCCUCAACAUUGAUUAGUCAUUGGUGCCAAUAUCAGAGUGAAUAUCUUGAUUUUAAUGAAAUAUUUUGAUUUAAACAAAGUGUAGAGGAGUGUUAAAAUAUCACGUAUCAUUCUACAUCAUACAUGAAAGAAAGGCAUGAAGCAUACACUGAUGUAUUAGACUAUGCAUUGUUUGACUGUAUUGAAAGGUUCUUCUCUACUUGGACUUCCUUUCAUGAAUUCGGAUGGUUAAAGAAAUUUAUUUAGGUAACUAAUAUCCCCAUCCACAUGUACAUUAUGUUGUUUAUGUUUAUGUGCGAAACGCAUGUGUUGGUUCCAAUGAUGCGAAAUAGAGGGAAGAUUUAGGAAUCACAUCUCUCAUGAUAGCACUGUAUUUUGAAUGAAGUGAAGUAAAGUAGAAUUUAAAUAAGUUUACAUGUAAUGUUAAAAUUUCUUACCGAUUACUUUAACGUUUACUAUGUUCCUGACAUUGCUGAUUUUUUUUUAUUUCUGCGGUACACUAUUCCUAUUUCAUGACUUCUAAUGUUAUGACAUUCGAUGAAACUGGACUGCAAUAAAGUGAAGAUCCAUUUAUGUCUUCUAAAAAUGAUUGAGAGAUUAUAGUUUGAUGUCAUUAUCUAUGAAUUAAACAAUUACUAUUUCUAAUAAGGAUUAUGGUGAUGUGUUUUCACGUCUAUGAUUUGCAUUGAAGAUUUUAGUUAUGUGUAAUGGUCCUAUAGUACAAUGAUAAUUGGAAUAGCAUUAUAUUCAUGACGUUAAAGUAAUGAGUUCAAACACAUCAUAUUAUUUGAUCUUGUUACCAUGGUGGUCUAUUUACCUAUUUGUACCACUAACUCAAUAUAUUUUACAAGUGUUAAGUUUACGAUAGAGUAAAGUAUGUAUCAUAAUAUAUGUUGAAUCUUCAUUAUUUAGUACUUCUAAAACACAAUGGAAAUGUUGGAAAUAUGCCCUAGAGGCAAUAAUAAAUUGGUUAUUAUUAUGUUUCCUUGUUUAUGAUAAUCGUUUAUUAUCCAUGCUAGAAUUGUAUUGAUUGGAAACUCAAAUACAUGUAUGGAUACAUAGACAACACACUGUCCCUAGUUAUCCUCUAGUUGACUAGCUCGUUGAUCAAACAUGGUCAAGUUUUCCUGGCCAUAGACAAGUGUUGUCACUUGAUAACGGGAUCACAUCAUUAGGAGAAUGAUGUGAUGGACAAGACCCAAACUUUAAACGUUGCAUAUGAUCGUGUCAGUUUAUUGCUACUGUUUUUUGCAUGUCAAUGUAUCUGUUCCUAUGACCAUGAGAUCAUGCAACUCCCAGACACCGGAGGAAUACCUUGUGUGUAUCAAAUGUCACAACAAAACUAGGUGACUGUAAAGGUGCUCUACAGGUAUCUCCGAAGGUGUCUGUUGUGUUGGCGUGAAUCGAGACUGGGAUUUGUCACUCCGUGUGAUGUAGAGGUAUCUCAGGGCCCACACGAUAAUACAACAUCACAAUAAUCCUUGCAAGCAAUGUGACAAAGGAUUUAGUCAUAGGAUCUUGUAUUACGGAACGAGUAAACAGACUUUCCGGUAACGAGAUUGAACUAGGUAUGGAGAUACCAACGAUCGAAUCUCGGGCAAGUAACAUAUUGAUGGACAAAGGGAACUGCAUACGGGUUUGAUUGAAUCCGUGACAUCAUGGUUCGAUCGAUAAAGAUCUUCGUAGAAUAUGUAGGAACCAAUAUGGGCAUCUAGGUCCUGCUAUUGGUUAUUCACCGUAGAGGUGUCUCGGUCAUGUGUGCAUAGUUCUCGAACCCGCAGAGUUUGCACACUUAACGGUCGGUGACGCUAGAGUAAUACUGGGAUAUAUAUGUUGGUGACAGAAUGUUGUUCGGAGUUCCGGAUGAGACCUCAGACAUCAUGAGGAGCUCCGGAAUGGUCCGAAGGUAAAGAUUUAUAUAUGGGAAGUCCUAUUUUGUCUACAGGAGAAGUUUCGGGUUUUAUCGGUAUUGUACUAAGAAGCUUCUGGAAGGUUCCAGAAGGUUCCAGAGGGUUCCGGAUGAUUCCAGACGGGUUCCUCCCACCCCUAGGACGUGCAUGGGAUGUAAGGAGGCUUUCAAGCCUUGUUGGGCCAGCCCCCAAGGGGCCAUGCGAUUGGGAGGGAAGAGUCCCUAAAGGGGAAGGCACCUCCUAGGUGCCUUGCGGAGGGAGGAAACCUCCCUCGACCCACACCCCCUCCUUGGAGGAGGGGCUAGGGCUGCGACCCAACCCUCUUCCUAGCAACCUAUAUAUAGUGGGGCAGAGGGAGGGGCUGAACACAUCAAUUCCCAUGCCGCGGUGGCAACCCUACCUCUCCCAUAACUCUGUUUUCUCCUCAGAUCGGUUCCGGCAGCGCUUGGUGAAGCCUUAUUGGCACUGCUCCACCAUGCCCUCAUGCUGUUUGAGAUCCCAUAUACUUAUCCUUCCCCUCUUGCUAUAUCAAGAAGGAGGAGACUUCAUCGAGCCGUACGUGUUUUGAACUCAGAGGUGCGUCCGUUCGGUGCUAGAUCGGGAAGGAUCGUGAUGAGAUUGCGGGACGGAUCGUCAUGAGAUCGCGGGAUGGGCUGCGAUUUGGAUUGCGAAGAUGUUCAACUACAUCAACAGCGUUAUAUAUGCUUCCGCUUUGCGAUCUACAAGGGUAUGUAGAUUCACUCUCCCCUCUCGUAGAUGAUCAUCACCAUGGAUAGGUCUUGCGUGUGCGUAGGAAAUUUUUUGUUUCCCAUGCAACGUUCCCCAGCAGUGGCGUCAUGAGCUAGGUCUAUGCGUAGAUGACAUCUCGAGUAGAACACAAAGGAGUUUGUGGGUGUUGAUACUCAAUUUUCUGCCCUCCUUAGUGUUUUCUUGAUUCGGCGGCAUUGUUGGAUUGAAGCGUCCCGGACCAACAUUACUCGUACACUUACGAGAGACCGGUUUCAUCGACUAAUAUGCAACUUGUUGCAUAAAUAUGACUAGCGGGUGUCCAUUUCUUCAACUUUAGUUGAAUCGGAUUUGACCGAGGUGGUCCUCGGAGAAGGUUAAAUAGCAAUUUGCAUAUCACCGUUGUGGCUUUGCGUAAGUAAGAUGCAAUCAUACUAGAUACCCAUAACAUCCACGUAAAAUUUGCAACAACAAAUUAGAGGACGUCUAACUUGUUUUUGUAGGGUAUGCAUGUGAUGUGAUAUGGCCAAAGACAUGAUAUGAUAUAUUGGAUGUAUGAAAUGAUCAUGUUGUAAUAGUUAAAUAUCGACUUGCACGUCGAUCCUACGGCAACCGGCAGGAGCCAUAUGGUUGUCUUUAAUUAUUUUGCGCUUGGAGAUGCUUUGCUUUAUCGCUAGUAGUAGCUUUCGUAGUAACAACAUAGUUAAAUUUACAACCUCGAUGGCGGCACAAUGAUCGAGAUCAUGGUGUGGCGCCGGUGACGAUGGAGAUCAUGCAGGUGCUUUGGUGAUGGAGAUCAAGAAGCACAAGUUCAUGGUCAUAUCAUGUCACUUAUGAUUUGCAUGUGAUGUUGAUCCUUUUAUGCACCUUGUUUUGCUUAUAAGGUAAUCAUUAUAAGGUAAUCCCUCACUCAAAUUUCAAGAUAAAAUUGUGUUCUCCCCGAGUGUGCACCAUUGCGACAUUUCAUCGUUUCGAGGCACCACAUGAUGAUCGAGUGUGAUAGACUCUACGUUCACAUACAACAGGUGCAAAACAGUUGCACACGCGGAACACUUGGGUUAAACUUGACGAGCCUUGCAUGUACAGACAUGGCCUCGAAACACAACAGUUCAAAAGGUCGAGCAUGAGUCAUAUAGUGGAUAUCAUCAACAUGGAGAUGUUCACCAUUGAAUCUAAACUCAACUCACGUGAUGAUUGCACUUGAGUUAGUGAAUUUGGAUCAUGUACCACUCGAAUAACUAGAGGGAUGUCAAUUUGAGUGGGAGUUCUUAUGUAAUAUGAUUAAUUGAACUCAUUAUCAUGAACUUAGUCAAAAGGUAUUUGCAAAUUAUGUUGAUGCUAAACUCAAAUCGGACUGUUUUUGAUAUGUUUCUAGAGAAAAUUUAGUUGAAAGUUGAUAGUAGCAAUUAUGCGGACUAGGUCCGUAAACUGAGGAUUGUCCUCAUUGCUGCACAGAAGGCUUAUGUCCUUAAUGCACAACUUGGUGUGUUGAACCCUGAGAGACGUCUCUGGAUGUUGCGAACAUCUAACAUACACGUUUUUGAUUACUACGUGAUUGUUCAGUGUGUAAUGCUUAACAUCUUAGAAUUGAGGCGGCCAAGACAUUUUCAACGUCACGAAGCAUGUGAGAUGUUCCAAGAGCUGAAAUUCGUAUUUCAGGCUCGUGCCCGUGUUAAGAGGUAUGAGACCUCCGACAAGAUUCUUUGUCUACAAAAUAAGGGGGAAAAGCUCAAUCGUUGAGCAUGUGCUCAGAUUAUCUGAGUACUAAAAUCGAUUGAAUCGAGUGGGAGUUUAUCUUCCAAAUAAGAUAGUGAUUAACAUAGUUCUCCAAAGUCACUGCCACCAAGCUAUAGAGCUUCGUCAUGAACUAUAACAUAUCAGGGUUAGAGAUGAUGAUCCUUCAGCUAUUCGCGAUGUUUGACACCAUGAAGGUAGAAAUCAAGUACGAGCAUCAAAUGUUGAUGGUUAGUAAAACCACUAGUUUCGAGAAGGACAAGGGAAAGAAGGGAUACUCCAUGAAAGGCAAACCAGUUUCCGCUCUAGUGAAGAAACCCAAGGUUAAACCCAAAACCCGAGACUAAGUGCUUCUAUUAUGAGGGGAACGGUCACUCGAGCGGAACUACCCUAGUCACUUGGUAGAUGAGAAGGCUGGCAAAGUUGACAAGAGUAUAUUGGGUAUACAUGAUAUUGAUGUGUCCUAGUACUCCUAGUAGCACCAGGGUAUUAGAUAAAGGUUAGGUUGCUAAGUGAUAGUAACUCGAAAUAAAAGCUACGGAAUAAAAGGAUACUAGGAAGGUCUGUGUUGGAAGAAAUUUCAAGGUUGAUGUGAUCAAACAUCGCACGCUCCUUAUACUUUCGAGAUUAGCGUUGAACCUAAAUGUUGUUUGGUGUUUGCGUUGAGCAUGAACAUGAUUGAAUUGUGUUUAUUGCAAUAUGGUUAUUCAUUUAAAGAGAAUAAUGGUUAUUUUGUUUACUUGAAUAAUACCUUCAAUGGUCAUGCACCUAAUAUGAAUGGUUUAUUGAAUCUUGAUCAUAGUAUUACACGAUGCCAAAAGAUACAAAGUAGUAAUGAUAGUACCACUUACUUGUGGCACUCUCGCUUGAUUCAUAUUGGUGUAAAACGCAUGAAAAAGCUCCAUAGUGAUGGAUCUUUGGACUCACUCAUUUUUGAAUCGUUUGAGACAUGUGAACCAUGCCUAUUGGUGUAAACGCGUGAAGAAACUCCAUGCAGUUGGAUCAUUUGUACUCACUUGAUUUUAAAUCACUUGAAACAUGCAAAUCAGGCCACAUGGGCAAGACGACUAAGGCCUCGUUUUCCAGUGAGAAGGAACAAGAAAGUAACUUAUUGGAAGUAAUACAUUUUGAUGUAUGCAGUCCAAUUAGUGUUGAGGCACGCAGUGGAUAUCGUUAUGUUCUUACUUCACAAAUGAUUUGAUCAGAUACUAGUAUAUUUACUUGAUGAAACACAAGUAUGAAUUAUUGAAAGGUUAAAGUAAUUUUAGAGUGAAGUUGAAGGUCGUCGUGACAACAGGAUAAAAUAUCUACGAUAUGAUCGUAGAGAUGAAUAUCUGAGUUGCGAGUUUGGUACACAAUUAAGACAAUGUGGAAAUUCUUUUACAACUAAUGCCACCUGGAACACCAUGGUGUGAUGGUGUGUCCGAACGUCAUAGUCGCGGCCUAUUGGAUGUGGUGCAUACUAUGAUGCCUCUUAUCGAAUUACGACUAUCAUUUUUCGGUUAGGCACUAGAGACAACCGCAUUCACUUUAAUUAGGGCACCACGUAAUUCCGUUGAGAUGACACCAUAUGAACUAUGGUUUGGGGAAACCUAAGUUGUCAUUUCGUAAAAGUUUGGGGCUAUGACGCUUAUGUGAAAAAGUUUCAACCUGAAAGAUCGAACCCAAAGCGGAUAAGUGCAUCUUCAUAGGGCACCCAAAACACUUGGGUAUAGCUCCUAUCUCAGAUCCUGAAGCAAAGUGUUUGUUUCUAGAAAUGGGUCGUUUAUCGAGAAAAAGUUUCUCUUCAAAGAAUUGAGUGGGAGGAUGAUGGAACUUGAUGAGGUUAUUGAACCGUCACUUCAACCAGUGUGUAGCAGGGCGCGAGAAGUUGUUCCUGUGGCGCCUACACCAAUUGAAGUGGAAGCUGAUGAUAGUGAUCAUGAAGCUUCAGGAUCAAGUUACUACAAACCUCAUAGGUCAACAUGGUCACGUACUGCUCCAGGGUGGUACGAUAACCCUGUCUUACAGGUCAUGUUGUUGGACAAUAAUGAACCUACGAGCUAUGCAGAAGCGAUCGUGGGCCUGGUUUCUGAUGAAUGGCUGGAUGCCAUGAAAUCCGAGGUAGGAUCCAUGUAUGAAAACAAAGUGUAGACUUUGGAAGAACUACUUAAUGGUUGUAAGACUGUUAAGUACAGAUGGAUCUUUAAAAGGAAGACACACGAUGAUGGUGAAAAGUCACUAUUAAGAAAGCUCGACUUGUUGCAAAGAUGUUUCUGACAAAUUCAAAGAGUUUACUAUGAUGAGACUUUCUGACUCGUAGCGUUGUUGAAAGGUCUAUUGGAAUUAUGUUAGCACUUGCUGCAUUAUUUAUGAAAUCUUGCAGAUAGGAUAUCAAAACAUUGUUUUCUCGAAGGUUUCCUUGACGAAAGGUUGUAUGUGAUACAACCAGAAUGUUUCGUCAAUCCUAAGGAUGCUAACAAGCAUGCAAGCUCCAUUGAUCCUUAUAUGGAUUAGAGCAAGCAUCUCGGAGUUGGAAUAUACACUUUGAUGAGAUGAUCAAAGCUUUUGGGUUUAUACAAGGUUUAUGAGAAACUUGUACUUCCAAAGAAGUGAGUGUGAGCACUAUAGAAUUUCUGAUGGGUAUAUCUGGUUGACAUAUUGUUGAACGUAAUGAUGUAGAAUUUCUGGAAAGCAUAUAGGGUUGUUUGAAAAGUGUUUUUCAAAGGAAAACCUGGAUUAAGCUACUUGAAUAUUGAGCGUCAAGAUCUAUAGAGAUAGAUCAAGAUGCUUGAUAAAACUUUUAAUGAAAUGCAUGCCUUGACAAGUUUUUUUGAAGGAGUUCAAAAUAGAUCAGCAAAGAAGGAAUUCUUGGCUGUGUUGUAAGGUGUGAAUUUGAGUAAGACUCAAAUCCCAACCACGGCAGAAGAAAGAGGAAGGACGAAGGUCGUCCCCUAUGCCUUAGCCGAAGGAUCUAAAGUAUGCCAUGCUGUGUACCGCACCUGAUAUGUGCCUUGCCAUGAGUGUAUCAAGGGGUGCAAAGAGUGAUCCAAGACUGAAUCGCUGAAAAGCGGUCAAAGUUAUCCUUAGUAACUAGUGGACUAAGGAUUUUUUCUCGAUUAUGGAGGUGAUUAAAGGUAUCGUCGUAAAGAGUUACGUCGAUUGAAGCUUUCACACUAAUCUGAAUAACUCAAAGUAGUAAACCGGAUUCUUAUAGUGGAGCAGUCAUUUGGAAAAGUUCCAAAUAGCGCGUGGUAGCAGCAUCUAUAGGAUGACAUAGAGAUUUUUAAAGCACACACCGAUCUGAAAGGUUCAGACCCGUUGACUAAAACCUCUCUCAGAAGAAAGACAUGAUCAAUCCCGAGAACUGUAUGGGUGUUAGAUUCAUUACAAUCACAUAGUGAUGUGAACUAGAUUAUUGACUCUAGUGCAAGUGGGAGCUGUUGGAAAUAUGCCCUAGAGGAAACAAUAAAUUGGUUAUUAUUAUAUUUCCUUGUUCAUGAUAAUCGUUUAUUAUCCAUGCUAGAAUUGUAUUGAUUGGAAACUCAAAUACAUGUGUGGAUACAUAGACAACACACUGUCCCUAGUGAGCCUCUAGUUGGCUAGCUCGUUGAUCAAAGAUGGUCAACGUUUCCUGGCCAUAGACGAGUGUUGUCACUUGAUAAUGGGAUCACAUCAUUAGGAGAAUGAUUUUAUGGACAAGACCCAAACAAUAAAUGUAGCAUAUGAUCGUGUCAGUUUAUUGCUACUGUUUUCUGCAUGUCAAUAUAUGUGUUCCUAUGACUAUGAGAUCAUGCACCUCCCGGACACCGGAGGAAUACCUUGUGUGUAUCAAAUGUCACAACGUAAUUGGGUGACUGUAAAGGUGCUCUACAGGUAUCUCCGAAGGUGUCUAUUGGGUUGGCGUGAAUCGAGACUGGAUUUGUCACUCCGUGUGAUGGAGACGUAUCUGAGGGCCCACUCUGUAAUACAUCAUCACAAUAAGCCUUGCAAGCAAUAUGACUAAGGAGUUAGUCACGAGAUCUUGUAUUACGGAAUGAGUAAAGAGACUUGCCGAUAAAGAGAUUGAACUAGGUAUGGAGAUAUCGACGAUCGAAUCUCGGCCAAGUAACAUGCCGAUGGACAAAGGGAACUGCAUACGGGAUUGAUUGAAUCAUUAACAUCGUGGUUCGACCGAUAAAGAUCUUCGUAGAAUAUGUAGGAACCAAUACGGGCAUCCAGGUCCCGCUAUUGGUAAUUGGACGUAGAGGUUUCUCGGUCAUGUCUACAUAGUUCUCGAACCCGCAGGGUCUGCACACUUAAUGUUCGGUGACAUUAGAGUAGUAUUGGGCCAUGUAUGUUGGUUACCGAAUGUUGUUCGGAGUCCUGGAUGAAAUCUGGGAUGUCAUGAGGAGCUCCGGAAUGGUCCCGAGGUAAAGAUUUAUAUACGUGAAGUCCUAUUUUGGCUACCGUUAGAGUUUCGGGUUUUAUCGGUAUUGUACCGGGAAGCUUGUGGAAGGUUCCAAAAGGUUCCAGAGGGUUCCGAAGGAGUCCGGAAGGGUCCCUCCAGCCCCUAGGACGUGCAUGGGUUGUAAGGAGGCGUCCAAGCUUUGUUGGGCCAGCCUCCAAGGGCCCAAGCGGUUGGGAGGGAAGAGUUCCUAAAGGGGAAGGCACCUCUUAGGUGCCUUGGGAAGGGAGGAAACCUCCCUAGGCCCACGCCCCCUCCUUUGAGGAGGGGCUAGGGCUGCGACCAAACCGUCCUCCUAGCGCCCUAUAUAUAGCACGGGAGAGGGAUGGGCUUAACACAUCUAAUCCCAUGCCCCGGUGUGUAACAUCCCAAACUUUGGAAUGUUAAUAUAAUUGUUAGAAUGAUUGUUUGUUUGUUCGUGUGAUUGAAACUUGAGUGGUGUUUGAAACUUGUCAAAAAAACUUUUGAAUGAGAGGGAAUAAAAUGAUUUUCCCCUUCUCCGAUGAAUUCAAAUUCAUCCAUUUAAAUUCAAUGAGAGAAGAUGACAUGACUUCUUCAAAUUUUAAAGAUUUUGAAUGAAGGUGGAAUUUGAAUUUCUUUCAAUUGUUAUUUUGCAAAUUCGUUUUCUACUUCACUCACGGAGUGCCCGCAUUAUUAUCUUGCCAAGCAAGAAAGAGUGGAGGAACAUGACCCUUCAAACCAGGGGCAUUUAUUCGAAGUAUUUGAAUCAUAAAACCUAGGGUUUAUUUGAAAAUUAUGCAAAAAUAAAUAAAACAUUUAGGGGAUUUUCUGAAAAACAUUUUUUUAAGUUUUUAUUUUGGCCGUGUAAAAAUGUCCAUCAUUUCGAUUUUAUUUUUCUGAUAAUUUUAGUAUAUAAAAACUAUUUAUUUCGAAUUUAUUUGGUUUCCUUUUUAAUCAUUUACUUUCCGGUUUUUGAGAAUAGGCAAGAAAUCUCUUUUAUUUGGAAACUCUUGCUGGCCCAUUAAGAGGUUUCCUACUUUGGCCCAACAGAGGAUCUUCUUCUUCCUUUGUCUCUUCCUCACGUUCCAUGAACCUUCCAUCAAUGGAGGAAGGAACCCUCACCUUCCCGAUCUCCCUCUCCCUUCCAUCCCGGCGCCUCCCGAGACCCUCUAUUUAAAGCCCCGAUCAUCCUCGUUCCAUUUUCCCCCUCACCACGACCUCUCCCUGCCCGCAGUCACCUCGCCACCACCCUCCACUUCCCUGCCUCACCGAGCUUAACAUGAGUUUCCCAAGCGCCCAGGCUCCCUGCCGAGCCCUCCUCUGGUACUCCAUGUCGCUCCCUACACCAACCUGCAGCACCCCAUCGCCCCCCUCGCCGAAGCAGCCCGACCUCGUCGACCAACCUCCGAGCCACGGCCAACCUUCCAGCCACAGUGAGCUUCUAAAAAAUCCUGUCACAGUUUUUUUCUUCAGAAAAGUGCAAACUUAGAAAAUUCAUAUCUAUUAGUCUAUAACUCCAAAUUAGGUGAUUCGUUUUGCGUUAGAUCACAAUUUUAUUGUAGUUUCCGAAAAUAUAUAAUUUGUCUAGGUUUGGAUUUAUAAAAUUUGAAUUAGAUCAGAUUUGAUUUAAAUCUUGUUUUGCUUAUACCGGGAGUUUAACAAUAGCUUUUAAAUUAAUUCCUUUUUCUACUAUUUCCUAUUGAUCAUAUCUUUCAGUAGUUUAAGUUUCAAUUUUUUUUAAAUAGUUUUACUUUGGGUUUUUACCAAAACAGAGUAUGUUUUAGUUUUUUUAGGAUUAUGGCUAUUUCUUUUUCUAUAAUUGUUUUUAAUGUAGUAGAAGACUCCCUAGUCUUAUUUGAAGUUUCUUUCGGAUUCUUAUUCGCUCUCUCUUAUUGUUUUGAUUGCUAGAAUGAUUGCUAGUAUGAGUGCUUAUGUGAAUGAUAUGUUUGUUAUAUAGAUUUCAUCGGAGAGUGACGAAUAGUCUAUCAAGUUAUUUCUUGAGAAACAAUAAUUCUUCUUCGUCAACAUUACUAGGCAAGUCAUUUGAUCAUGUAUCACCUAUGUUUUAUGCAUCGUAGUUCUACCAUCCUAUGCCCAAUUGGAUGCUGAGUAGGUACUUGGAAAUUAGGGUUACAUAUUGUAGUAUCAUGUGGUAGGCACCCAACAACCCUGUUACUAGGCUCCGGGACGACAAAUUUCAUAUUGCUAUGCUUGAGUAGACGGGAUUCUGGUUGAGAGUUUAUCACGAGUGAUUCGAGAAUAAUUUAAUAACCAAGACCGGUUAAGUCAAGACUUUUCAAGACCUCAUGAUGCAAUGCAACUCUGGGUGAAGGACGGUUGAUCGGCUCCCUGGAGAAACCAGUGGAUGACCCGGGAUGCUGGAGACGUGCCAUGACAUCUUGCGGAAAGCUUCACCCAGGCUCAAAGAGAUGGACGGAUAUUUUAAAGACCCAAGGCUUACCUGCACAGCCAUAAGUCAUUAUGGGCUCUGGCUUGGUUGGACAACGUGGCGACUCUGGACAGGCGGUGCUAGCAGAUGUAGAAGAACGGUAGGAUUGGAUGGGCACCGACAGGGAUUCAGAGGGACCCGUUGAAAGACCAUGUUUUGAUCAUCCAGUCUUCAAACACCCUGAAGUGCGAGGACAUACACGGAGGCGAUCAAAUCUUGUGGGGAACGUGUGCAAAACACUGCAGAGUACUCAAACCUAAUCGAUUAGCCGUGUCCACGGUCAUGGACAACUUGAGUCAAAGGAACUGAAGUUAUCUGAAAUUUUCAACACAAAUAAUAAUAUUGAUGUGGGUAUUAUUGACAACAUGGGUACGAGAAUUGGUUGGUGGAACCAUCUCGUUAACAACCAACAACGUAGUAACAUUUUUCUUUUAGCCCUCUCUUGAUGUAGGAGAAAACCUUGCUUUUUGCUAAAAACUUACAGCCCCACCUGCCAUAUAUGCAUAUAGAAUAGAUGAUUACUAUUUUACCCCCUCUCUUAUGUGACUUGCCAGCAUAUUCAAUAUGCUGACCUACACGGCUGCAACGUCUUAUGUUGCAGAUAUUUUCCUCGACGAGUAAGAGUACGAUUCAGGGUUACGGUCCGCACUCAACUUGCCGUUGGUGUUUAUUGGGACUCCACUCCCUUGACUGUUUCCGCUGAAAUAUUGAAGGUAUAUAUCAGUUUUACGCUAUUCCCAUGUGAUUGCACUUUGAUAUAUACAUUGAUGUACUGUGUGUGCCAGCAUACUGAUCCAGGGAUGGCACAGAUACACAGAGGCUUGACUCGUUUUGAGUCGGGUCGCUACAGAAAUGGUAUCAGAGCACAUGUUGACUGUAGGACGUGACCCUAGAAACUGGAAAUUUCUUAGGAAAGGAUCUCUCAAAAUUUUUAUUUUCAACAACACCUUUUACUUCUCAUCUCUUCUGAUUUCAUCGAAUGUUCCCUCUCACCUCAGAUAGUUAGACAAUACCCUUACCCCUUUGACCACAUGAAGAAUCAACGGAGUUCUACUUCAAAAUAAAGAGGAUUUGACCAUGCAUUUGAAGAAUUGAAGCUACACCCACUGAAGACUCUUAAGACCCGAAGAAUUCAAAGACCCUGAAACGUUCGAAUAUUUAUAUGACCAUUAGAAGUCCAAACCCCUCUUAUAUACCCAUGUUAGUUACGAUGAUUUGUGAGCCGUCAUUGGUGUGUGUUUUCCGACAGCCACAAAUAAAACAUAUUCUAAAAAAAAUAUUGUUUGUAUUGUGUGUAUCUCCCUCUCUCUUACCCGUCUCAUCCCCAAAACCUCAACCCUACCAGAUGGAGUAUGAAGCUGGACUUGUAGUCUCUGGACCAAUGACCCAGCUGGAGGCUGAUAUAUGGAUUCAAAACAUGGAGAACCACUUCGGGAGCAACUUGAUCUCAAGGAAGUAUGAAGUGGAACACGCUCUUCAGUACUUUACACAAAGUGCUGCAAUCUGGUGGAAAAUGCACCAUGCCAUACAAGGAUUUAGUGGAGCAGAAACUUGGGUCGAAUUCAAGAACACUCUGUUAAGAUCCCGACUUAUUCAGAAGUGCUAUGAUAAUCCGAAGGAGAAGACUUAUGCAUGCAAGAUAUGUGGAGAAAUAGGACACACCCAGGAAGAACACAAGGAUGGAUGCACUCAUUGUGAAGAAAAUCACCCAGCUGUGGAGUGCCCAAGUAGUCAGGUGACUUGUUUCCUUUGUGAAGGGACUACCCACUACCCAGCUCAGUGUCACAUUUACCCCAAGGUACAACAAGUUGUCCAGCAGCAGAAAGAAGCAAUGAAGGAAACACUCAAGAAGAAGAUUCUAGAAGAGUCGAUGAUGAACGAAAAUAUUGAAGACCUGAUGGACAAGGUCUGACCAGAUUUUUCUCCAAUGCAUGCUACUCCUGUGGAGAAGAAGGACAUUAUUCACAGGAUUGCACGAAGGGAAGCCAAGAGUAUCUGGGAAACUUCCCGACGGAAAAAGUGGAGUUUGAUCCACUUGAAAUAGAAGAACUGGCCAAAAUAAAGGAGUCCGGAAAGAAAAAAGGUACCCUCGGAAGAGCCAAACCUCUGCAGAUAUAGACCUGAGUCAUGUCAGAUGUUACAAGUGUAUGGAAUUUGGCCACCACAAAUACAUGUGCUUAGGAAGGAAGCCAGAAACCCAAGGAGGAAAAGCAAACACUAAGACGCCUCGAGACUGGUCAGAAGUCAUUUGCUUUCGUUGCAAGGAAGCAGGACAUUUUUCUAAUGAUUGUCCACAAAGGAACAAAGCUAAAAAGGAGUAGUUAAGUUUUGACCGCGGCAAUUAGUGUAAUCUGAAGAACUCUUGUUUUUCAUGAGAUUAUGGAGUGAAAUUUUUUGUAACAGAAAUUCCUGAGAUUGUAAUAACAUCAUGAAUAAAUGGAAUUUAUUGUCUCAUGAUUGCCUAUGUUGAAACUAUAUACGUUGUUUCUCUUUGAACAAAGAUCUCUGAACAAUUAUGAGGAUAUGAGAAAAUAUGGUCUAUGCAAGCAUGAGUAUAAUUCAUUUUAAGUGUGGUAGUAAUCGGUAAAACCACAGGAUCCACUGAGUAGGAAUGUACCAUAACUACCAAGGAGACAUAUACAUUCCUCUAAGUACCUAUUUACUGACACCUGCAGAUGACAACGCUCUACGAGUCAUUCCUCAAGGGCCCAGAAACGAUCAUGACCCUGGCCAGUGAUCAUGAUUACCCGAAAAUCCUGAAGUACAGGAUGAAGCACAUUCAUCUUGAAGGAGAUGCAGUCUACAAAGGCUACCCAUUCAUGGAAAGUGGAGUAGAACUUUGGUAUGUGGAAGUACACCUCCACCAUGUGAAAGGAGUUUGUCCAAAGACUAUGGGGCAAUACUUUUUCAUUUCACGUGUACCACGAGCAACCUUCUUUGAUGCUGUUCGUGAAGCUGCCAUGGAAGCCAUACAUUAGAUUGGAGAAAUACUUGAAGCAAGACUCCGUCAUACCCAGGAAUACCUGAGUGAGGUACGUGCGGAGAUGAUGGAGAUGAAGCUCAUGGCCACCAUGAGAAAGCAAAAGAUGGAUGAUUUCAAGGAGCACCUCGGAAAGUUUUAGUGGAACUAAAGUACCUCCAAGAGAGACAGAUGAAUAAAGUUGGCAGAAAUGCUUGACCAUACCGAACAAUGUGGAUGGCAGCAUUUGUAAUAAAUUACUUUUGAGUUAGAAUUUUGAAGAAAGUAAGGAUGUAAUAAAGGAUUGUUUAUGAAAUGAGUAUGAUUUAUGGAUGAACCAAUACCUUUUCAUGGUAAACACACCAAUGGAAAGUAUCCCACAGAGUGGAGCGUGUACCAAAAAUAAGUCUGAGGACUAUUUUUAUGAUAGUUACCCCAAGAGUAUGAUGGAAUGAAACACUAUGGAAUUUAAAGGCAGUGUAAUUCCAAGUAUGCCUGAAACCCACAGACCCGGGACUAACAAGGAUCAAGUACUAUCUUUUGGGAAAGGAAACUUGUAUCAGGAACAUUUCCCUAGGAGCAUACGAAAACCUGAGAGUUGUGAAGUUACGAUAGAUGUUUUGUUCAGCUUGGAGAAUCAUUGGAUUUAUCCGAACUUCGUUCGUGUACAAGAGAAAUUCUACAAUGCUUGUGAGGAUGCCCAAGUGUUAUAAUACGAGAUUCACUAAUACUUAUACAAGGUAAUGAUUUCUGUGCGACAUGGCUUGGCCACCAUGACGACUUACUCUUAUCAUUUAUCUUGCUAUUCGGAUUGGUAAAUCUGAGAGACAUACCCAUAGAGAGAGACGACGUUCUUUGAAGCUUUUGUUUAAGCCUUAGAAUGGUCUGCUGAAAGCCCCAUGUACAUGGCACUUGCUGUCAUGCGUAAGAAAUUUUAUGGUGAGGAUGAAACCAAGACCCCUCUCUCUUCAGGAUAACCACAAAUGGUAGACCACCAUGAGAACCAUCGAUAUGUUAUUUAGAAUUGACCACGAGACUGUCAGUUAAGAAGACCCAGUAAUGGAAGAAGCUUAUAUCAACAGAAGAACCCUCGUUUUAAUGGAAACGUUAUGAAUAUAACGGAAGAGCAUCACGAGAGGAGUUAGUAUGAAGACUGUGAGUAGUCAGAUGCCAAACCCCGAGAGGAAUUCUAAAAUUUUGAGGGACCAGUAAUUCUUAUUUUAAGUGUGGUAGCACCCCACUUUGCCGGAGGUUGGAUUUGUUAGAAGACCUCCAAACCCUAACCUUUCUUUCUAGCCCCUUCGAAUCACGAGGACGAGAUUCAUUUUAAGUGUGGUAGGUUUGUAACAUCCCAAAUUUGGAAUGUUAAUAUAAUUGUUAGAAUGAGUGUUUGUUUGUUUGAGUGAUUGAAACUUGAGUGGCGUUUGAAACUUUUCAAAAAAACUUUUGAAUGAGAGGGAAUAAAAUGAUUUUCCCCUUCUCCGAUGAAUUCAAAUUUAUCCAUUUAAAAUCAAUGAGAGAAGAUGACGUGACUUAUUCAAAUUUUAAAGAUUUUGAAUGAAGGUGGCAUUUGAAUUUCUUUCAAUUGUUGUUUUGCAAAUUCGUUUUUUGCUUCACUCACGGAGUGACCGGAUUAUUAUCUUCCCAAGCAAGAAAGAGUGGAGGAACAUGACCCUCCAAACCAGGGGCAUUUAUUAAAAGUAUUUGAAUCAUAAAACCCGAGGGUUUAUUUGAAAAUUAUUGCAAAAAUAAAUAAAACAUUUAGGGGAUUUUUUGAAAAACAUUUUUUUAAGUUUUUAUUUUGGCCGUGUAAAAAUGUCCAUCAUUUAGAUUUUAUUUUUCUGAUAAUUUUAGUAUAUAAAAACUAUUUAUUCCGAAUUUAUUUGGUUUCCUUUUUAAUCAUUUACUUUCCGGUUUUUGAAAAUAGGAAAGAAAUCUAUUUUAUUUGGAAACUCUUGCUGGCCCAUUAAGUGGUUUCCUACUUUGGCCCAAUAGAGGAUCUUCUUCUUCCUUUGUCUCUUCCUCACGUUCCANNNNNNNNNNNNNNNNNNNNNNNNNNNNNNNNNNNNNNNNNNNNNNNNNNNNNNNNNNNNNNNNNNNNNNNNNNNNNNNNNNNNNNNNNNNNNNNNNNNNNNNNNNNNNNNNNNNNNNNNNNNNNNNNNNNNNNNNNNNNNNNNNNNNNNNNNNNNNNNNNNNNNNNNNNNNNNNNNNNNNNNNNNNNNNNNNNNNNNNNNNNNNNNNNNNNNNNNNNNNNNNNNNNNNNNNNNNNNNNNNNNNNNNNNNNNNNNNNNNNNNNNNNNNNNNNNNNNNNNNNNNNNNNNNNNNNNNNNNNNNNNNNNNNNNNNNNNNNNNNNNNNNNNNNNNNNNNNNNNNNNNNNNNNNNNNNNNNNNNNNNNNNNNNNNNNNNNNNNNNNNNNNNNNNNNNNNNNNNNNNNNNNNNNNNNNNNNNNNNNNNNNNNNNNNNNNNNNNNNNNNNNNNNNNNNNNNNNNNNNNNNNNNNNNNNNNNNNNNNNNNNNNNNNNNNNNNNNNNNNNNNNNNNNNNNNNNNNNNNNNNNNNNNNNNNNNNNNNNNNNNNNNNNNNNNNNNNNNNNNNNNNNNNNNNNNNNNNNNNNNNNNNNNNNNNNNNNNNNNNNNNNNNNNNNNNNNNNNNNNNNNNNNNNNNNNNNNNNNNNNNNNNNNNNNNNNNNNNNNNNNNNNNNNNNNNNNNNNNNNNNNNNNNNNNNNNNNNNNNNNNNNNNNNNNNNNNNNNNNNNNNNNNNNNNNNNNNNNNNNNNNNNNNNNNNNNNNNNNNNNNNNNNNNNNNNNNNNNNNNNNNNNNNNNNNNNNNNNNNNNNNNNNNNNNNNNNNNNNNNNNNNNNNNNNNNNNNNNNNNNNNNNNNNNNNNNNNNNNNNNNNNNNNNNNNNNNNNNNNNNNNNNNNNNNNNNNNNNNNNNNNNNNNNNNNNNNNNNNNNNNNNNNNNNNNNNNNNNNNNNNNNNNNNNNNNNNNNNNNNNNNNNNNNNNNNNNNNNNNNNNNNNNNNNNNNNNNNNNNNNNNNNNNNNNNNNNNNNNNNNNNNNNNNNNNNNNNNNNNNNNNNNNNNNNNNNNNNNNNNNNNNNNNNNNNNNNNNNNNNNNNNNNNNNNNNNNNNNNNNNNNNNNNNNNNNNNNNNNNNNNNNNNNNNNNNNNNNNNNNNNNNNNNNNNNNNNNNNNNNNNNNNNNNNNNNNNNNNNNNNNNNNNNNNNNNNNNNNNNNNNNNNNNNNNNNNNNNNNNNNNNNNNNNNNNNNNNNNNNNNNNNNNNNNNNNNNNNNNNNNNNNNNNNNNNNNNNNNNNNNNNNNNNNNNNNNNNNNNNNNNNNNNNNNNNNNNNNNNNNNNNNNNNNNNNNNNNNNNNNNNNNNNNNNNNNNNNNNNNNNNNNNNNNNNNNNNNNNNNNNNNNNNNNNNNNNNNNNNNNNNGGGACCCGUUGAAAGAUCAUGUUUUGAUCAUCCGGUCUUCAAAGACCAUGAAGUGCGAGGACAUACACGGAGGCGAUCAAAUCUUGUGGGGAACGUGUGCAAAACUCUGCAGAGUACUCAAACCUAAUCGAUUAGCCGUGUCCAUGGUCAUGGACAACUUGAGCCAAAGGAACUGAAGUUAUCUGAAAUUCUCAACACAAAUAAUAAUAUUGAUGUGGGUAUUAUUGACAACAUGGGUACGAGAAUUGGUUGGCGGAACCAUCUCGUUAACAACCAACAAUGUAGUAACAUUUUUCUUUUAGCCCUCUCUUGAUGUAGGAGAAAACCUUGCUUUUCGCUAAAAACUUAUAGCCCCACCUGCCACGUAUGCAUAUAGAAUAGAUGAUUACUAUUUUACCCCCUCUCUUAUGUGACUUGCCAGCAUAUUCAAUAUGCCGACCUACACGGCUGCAACGUCUUAUGUUGCAGAUAUUUUCCUCGACGGGUAAGAGUUCGAUUCAGGGUUACGGUCCGCACUCAACUUGCCGUUGUUGUUUAUUGGGACUCCACUCCCUUGACUGUUUCUAUUGAAAUAUUUAAGGUAUAUAUCAGUUUUACACUAUUUCCAUGUGAUUGCAGUUUGAUAUAUACAUUGAUGUACUGUGUGUGCCAGCAUACUGAUCCAGGGAUGGCACAGAUACACAGAGGCUUGACUCGUUUUGAGUCGGAUCACUACAGAAAUGGUAUCAGAGCACAUGUUGAGUCAGGUAAGGCGCUACACGGUGGCAGCCCUACCUCUCCUAUAACUCCAUUUUCUCCUCAAAUCGGUUCUGGCGGCGCUUGGCAAAGCCCUACUGGCACUGCUCCACUAUCAUCUCCACCAUGCCGUCAUGCUGGUUGAGAUCCCAUCUACUUCUCCUUCCUCUCUUGCUGGAUCAAGAAGGAGGAUACGUCAUCGAGCCAUACGUGUGUUGAACACGGAGGUGACGUCCGUUCGGCGCUAGAUCGGGAAGGAUCUUGAUGAGAUUGCGGGACGGAUCGUGAUGAAAUCUCAGGACGGGUUGUGAUUUCGAUCGCGAAGAUGUUCCACUACAUCAGCCGUGUUAUAUACGCUUCUGCUUAGCGAUAUACAAGCGUAUGUAGAUUCACUCUCCCCUCCUGUAGAUGAUCAUCACCAUGGAUAGGUCUUGCGUGUGCGUAGGAAAUUAUACCGUUGUGUUAAUACUUUUUUACUCAAAUGACCUUAUAUGUUCACAAUAUAUGAAUCACUAACAAUGAGGUCUGCAUUAUCAUCCGUAUCCUAGAACUUUGUUAAGAUUGCCAGCUCUAUAAUAGCACAUAACUGUUGGACACACGAAAAUUAAUCAAUGGAGAAAAAAAUAAUAGGACAUGGGUGAGGAGUGCACCAAUGUAGACAUAUAGAUGGGGUCAUGUAGCAGAAUGGUGUAGUUAAAAUAACCAUUAAGCUGAAUCAAGACACGACUCACUUGUUAUUUUUGUUGAAUAACAACCUAUAGGAGGGUAGAUUUAUAUAAAUGUGUUGGCAAUAACAUACAAUACUAAUCUACCAUUCUUAAGAAGUUGCUUCCCACUACUCCCAAUUCUUUCACCAUGCAUAUUGUCCAUCUCAUCAUGGUGCCACAUCAGCGUUCAACUUCUGCACUUCAGCAACUCCCACCAUGCAAAAUACUUUACUUUUACCACUGUCUUCUCCACACCUGCAUGCACCACUAUUCAGCUCCUAUGCCCAUAAUGCACCGGAUGUAAACCACAGGUCUGCCAUGUUCCCUUUCUUCUGCUCCCUCUUGCGUUUGAGCAACCAACCAGCAUUCAAAAGUGUAGCAUAUAUAUGUUGCUUGACCUUUCGGUCAUGUUCCUCUUACAUCACCUUGCUUUUGCUGCACUUUGACAAAUCCAUAGCUCUUGCAAUGAAGCCAAUACCUCCUGCUAUAAGCAUGCAUCACUAGUGCAGAAUCAGGCAAUAGUUCCGGUUCGUAAGGACCUUUACUAUUGGUUCUGCAACCGACACUAAAGGGUCCCCCUUCAGUGCCAGAUCGUCACGAACCGGGACCAAACGCCCACCACGUGCCACGAUCCCGCGUCGGGGGGCUAGGGGCCUUUAGUCCCGGUUGGUUACACCAACUGGGACUAAAAGGUUUAGGAGUUUUGGGUUUAUGGUUUAUUUUUCCUUUUAAUUUUGUGUUUUCCAUUUAAUUAUUUUUCAUUUCAAACAUAUUUUUACAAUACUACAUAUUGUACACGUUACGCAUAUAUAAAAAUAGAAUUUAUCGUAGAACUGAUCAUAUAUAUAUCAUCGAAUUUCUUGCACAACCAUUCACACAUACACAUAUAUAUAUAAUUUCUCCUACAAUUUGCAGAUCGUUACAUGGAGGCAUUACAACUUGUAAUGGCAUUCUCCUUUGGGAUCUAUGACCUCGUCGUGAAAAAAUCCCGCUCUUUCCACUUGAAUUGCUCGUACGAGGUCCGUUGGUAGGAGUUGAUCCCGCUUUUGUUCCAUAUUUAUUAAAAAAGAAGAUAAAUAUGAAUAUAUUAACUAUGUGUAUAUAUAUUAGAUCAUGAUAAAAAGAAUUGUGAAUCGUGUUCUGAAAACGUACCCAAAGUUGUCUAUCACUUUUAGACCUCAUCAUGUGACUGUCCUCGCAAACGUAGUAUGCACAUAAAUUAUUCCCUGACACCUGCCUCAGUCACUUUACGAGAAUAGAAUUCAAUUAGGUAAUAAUUAAUCAAGCAUGAUAAUAGUAUUGAAACUAGAAUUACAGAGAUGGUAGCUAGCUAGUACCACUAAAUUAAUUACCCUGGGUCGCACCCAUUUCAGUUUUUGUUUCCAUGAGCCUUCAACUUGAUUGAUGAACUUUUCCCAAGCCCUGCCUGCUGGCAAAUAAAAUGAAUAAAGGAUUUAUUAAUUAGCUGAUAUCUCGAAAUGAACUAAAGAGGCAGACAUAUAAUUCGAUAAUGAUUGAAAUUACAUGUGGACCAUCCCACUCACGAUUGCGUAGUCUCGAUCGUCUAUAAGUAUUGAGUCAAGUACUAGAACUUUUCCCUUAUCAACUUCAAUGAUUAGUAGGAUCCAGUGAAAAAUGCAUGCGCACACGUUUGUAUAAUUAAGCGGGCAUGUGCAUAACUGAUCAACUACACUUAUUAAAAUCUAGUAAGCAAAAACAAAAUUGGUAGUACAAGACAGUGUCACUCAUCCGAAGUUGUAAGGAAGUAGUAUUUCUGGUUGGGUAUUUAGUCGCACCAAGAACUCUAGCAAGAUUUUCAUUUUGUCUUUUCGUUCCCAUUGAUGCGUCCAUGUCUCUUCAUAAAUGGUAUUUGGGUCAAUGAACCAAAUGCCAUAGCGUCCAACUUUUUUCAUUUCAUGCAUCUUCAUUCUACAUAAGACCAUAGAAAAGAACGACAUCACAUAGCUACUGAACAUGGACUCAUGGUCCAAGGAGGACUACUCACAACACGUCCGAGAAGUGUCCAUGGUGUCCCAGAGGUCGCUCCUCCCUCCGGCAGGGUGUCGAGAAGAGAUCUCCUGACGCUCCCGAUCUCAGAAGUGCUUCGGCGGUGGAACGAUCGAGAAAUUCACAAUUCCAGAAAGUCUCGGAGGGUUUCCUCUUGGGACUCUAAAUAUAUGUCAAAGGAGGGCAUCGGAGGAGGACGCCUGGGAAGGCCCUGGCCCUCCUUCGGUGAUCUGGAAGCUUCUGUUUCGCAGAUAUUUUAUAUAUUUUUUCUAGAUUUUUUUGGGCUUCGGAAAAUUGGGUAAAAGCCCCUGCAAAAUAGACAUCAACAGACAGAAACUGGCACUGGGUGCACUGAGUUAGUAGGUUAGUACAAAUAUGUGUAAAAUGAUAUAAAAGUGUAGCAAAACAUACAACAAUGUCACCCAAAAGAUCAUGGAACAAGAAGAAAUUAUAGAUACGUUUGGGACGUAUCAACAUCCCCAAGCUUAAUUUCUGCUCGUCCUCAAGUAGAUAAAUGAUAACACAAUAAUUUAUGUGGUGACAUGCUAACACACAUAUAAGAGGUUCAAAGUAAAGCAAAAUAUGCAAUUCAAGUCAAGACAAUAACAAGCAAGAGUCUAUAUAUAGUAUUGAGUUUAGCAAAGUAAGAACAUAAAGGUGCAAGAGCUCUCCUGGUUUGUGAAUCAAAUGUCUCCAAAUGGUGUUUGCGUGCAAGAAGUGGGAGAUGGGUUGAGAUAAUAAAAUAUUUUUUUAAUUGAGAACUCAAUCUUCUAAAAUUUCACAUUUGGUCUCCUUCGGAAUCUUAUUUUGACUCAUCCUUAGACCACUAGUCAGGAACAAAUCAAAAUGAUCCUCUCCCUUUCCACUUUGAGCACUGAUGCAAUGGAUGAGCGUAAGAAAGAUAUGUUUGCACUUCGGAUGGCAAAUAGAAUAAUGAUGGGGAAGGAAGAAAAAAAGGUGUCAAAGGCUCACAUCAAUGAGGACAACCAUAGGCGAGAGAAAGUAAAAUGAUAGAUAUGAUGUGAGGAGUAAGGAUUGCCAUGUAACGGAUGCACAUAUGAGCUAAGGUAAGUUCUGCAAUGGAACUAGUGGGGGUGCAUCCAACUUGUUUGCUCAUGAAGACCUAGAACUCAUUUGAGGAGGCUCAUCAUUGGAAUAUGCAAACCAAGUUCUAUAGUGUAAGGGUCGCCACAUAGUUAUGCAUGAAUGAUAAUCUCUACGUAGUACCAAUAUAUCAAUGGAAUACGAGUGUGGAUCUUCAAAAGGAAUAGUAGUGCUGCCCCCUUCUCUCAUUUUAUUUCUUUUUCUUUUUAUCUUUUUUUUUUAAUUUUUUUUGUGGCCUCUUUGGCUCUUUCUUUUUAUCUCUCAUUUUUCCUCUUUGGGAUCUUUUGUUUCGUCCACUUUGGGAUCUUUUCCUUACUUUAGGGCAACACUCUAAGUUUUACAUGAAUCAAAAGAAGAUAAUCACAGUUUAUAGGAAGUACUCAACAUAAAGGCAAGUGAAAACUAUCAUGAUGUAUGCAAAUGUAUGCCUUUGCUAGUGUAGUGGGAUAUGCAAUGAUACUAGCGCGUCAUGUAGCAAUAAUUGGGGUAAGGCCCAACUAUCAUGCGACUCUACUAUCAAGCAAAAGCAUGUAUGACAUGAAUAUCUAGUCAUGAGAUGGUGGAUGUUGCAUGGCAAUGUAUCUCGGAAAGGCUAUGGAAAUGCCUUAAUAGGUAGGUAUGGUGGCUGUUUUGAGGAAAGAUAUAAUGAGGCUUAUGUAUGACAGAGCAUAUCAUGUCAUGGGUUUGGAUGCACCGGCGCAGUUUGCACCAACUCCCAAUGUGAGAAAGGGCAAAUGCACGGUACCGAAGAGGCUAGGAAAAUAUGGAUGGUGGAAGUGCCAACAAUUGAAUACUCACAUUAGUCCGAAGAACUCAUACACUUAUUAUCGGUAAAUCUCUAUCUAGUUAGGAAAUUAACAAAGAGACAAGUACCCCGAGGAGGAGCGUUUGGGGGUUUGGUUAUCCUUGCGCAUCCUCGACUCAUGGUAACAUGAGGGUACUCUAUAUAUUCCAACCCCUCCAGAGGUUAGCGAUCAAUUUAGUAGCUAGAGUUCUCAAUUAAUUUUAGUUUUUGAAAAACACACAGAUUUCCAAAAAUACGACACCCAUCACUAAUAGGCUCAAGCUCUUGGCACUAAUAGUCUAAACAUUACUCAAAUCAAUACCGCAAAACUAUUGCAAGUUACUACUAUACUUAAAUAGCAACUUCAAUUACCUACUCAUGCAAGACACACAAUUCAGUGCAACGAGCCAACUCUCUAAACAAGAUAAGCACGAUAACUCAAGAGAGUUCCAGAAGCAACCUAAAUAAUAGCUCUUAAAAAGAUAAGCAUGAAAACUAAGAGCUAAGCAUCACAGUAGCUAAGGAAAGAUAAAUAACACACAAAAGGAUAAGCAUGAAACAUAUGUUGUGUUCUAGAGUGGAAUGGAGUGUGUCUCUCUCCCAAACAAGGUGGGCUAGGUUCCGACUUGUUAUGAACAGCAAGCAAAACUAAAACAAACUAAAAAGCAAAUAGCGGGACGCUCCAAGCAUAGCACAUAUCAUAUGAAGUGAUAAAAAUAUAACAUGGAGAUGGACGAACUGAUGAUUGUUUAUAGAGAAGGGGAUGCACGGGGGCAUCCCCAAGCUUAGAUGCUUGAGUCUCCUUGAAUAUUUCUUGGGGUGCAUGGGCGCAUCCCCAAGCUUGACCGCUUGACACUCAUGUAUGUUCUUUCAUCAUCUCUCCCAUCACAUACUUGAAAACUCCCUUCAUACGAAACUCGUCAUAAGCUGAUUAUAGUGGUUAGUUCCCUUAAUAACAUAAUUCAUUACCUGUUGGAAAUAAAUAUUUUCAUGAAAAUCUACUGCUUCUAAUGAAUGCCAAAAGGUUUUUGCAAAUAAAAAGUAAGCUUAGCAUUUGCAAAACAAUGAAAAUGCAAAACAUGGCAGAAUCUGUGAAAAACAGAACAUCACGUAGUAAAUAAUUUAUUUCGGGCACUUAUGCAACUCAAAUAAAAAAAA